rnacentral:lncRNA from 1 species
AUUGUUGGGAUAAUGGAGGCAUAUUAUUAUUGGGUAUUAGUCCGUGACUCCUACAUCUCGGAGUAGGAGGUCUUUGUGGUAUGACUAUACCAAGAUUCAGGGCCUUGCCUGAUGUUUUUGAAGCUUGACCGUGAGCAUAGAGUGGAAUCAAUGUUUUUUGUGAGACUUCAGCUUUGCAAACAGGGCAAUUUGGCUGUUGAUUAUCGAUGUUCUUUGAUGAAAUGGUCUUAAAAUGUAUCCAUUUGUAGAUGCAAGGCCAACAAUAGAGGUGACCACAUAAUGUAACAACAGGAUCAUGUACAACAUCCAGGCAAAUGUUGCACUCGAAACCUUCAGGUGAGUUUUCUUCAAGUUUAUCAAGAUCAAUUGUGUUCCAUUUUUCAAAGGAAAUAUCGCGUUGAUCAAAGGUAGUUUCUGGUAUUUGGUCUUGAAAAAUUUGUUGUAAGGCCAUAUUUGCCUCUUGGUAUUGAUUUAUUUUGAUAAUGGCAAGAUGAAGAAUGGUUAGAAUUCAGGUUUUUAAUACAAUUAGAAGUGAGUAUUUAUAAGGACAAGAAUAGUAGUUUGCAAACAAUGAUUCUUAAGGUUGUCACUUGUCAACAUCACAUUAUGUUAAAGGGGCAUGGCUAAAAAGAAAAGGCCCUACACAUUACUCCCUCCGUCCCUAUUUACUUGUCCAUAUUUCCUUUUUUGGUUGUCCCUAUUUAGUUGUCCAUUUUGACAAAUCAAGAAAGGACAACAAAUUUUUUCCUAUUAUACCCUUAUUUACACUUCUUGAAAAUUGUAAAAGUGUAUGUUGUUUCCCUCCAAUUUAUUUCACUUGAAUUCAAAUAAGUGGUUGUAAUUUUGAAGUGAAAAGUUGUCAGGGUAAAAUUGUAACUUCACUGUGCUAAUCAUUGUUGCCUUAAUCUGUGUGUCAUUUCUAAAGUGGACAACUAAAAAGGGACGGAGGGAGUAUUAAACAACACUAUAUCAUAUUAGUCAACUCAGUCUUAAUUUAUGCGGUACUGUUCGAUUUGAUAUAACGUUUAAUAAAGAAAAGAAGAUUUUUAAAAUAUGUGGUGUAAAAUAAAUAUUUAAUUAUUUGUGGUUAUAAAUCAUGUCAUUAAGAAUAAUAAAUGAAUUUAAAGUUUUUUCAAUCAUCAAAAUGUGAUAUUCUUUUUGUAUCAGACUGAAACAAAUGUGUUACAUAAAUUGGGACAAAUGAACUAUCACACACAUCAUAAUUAAGUGAUUUAAUGAAGUUGAAAAAUUAAUAUUAAUGGAUCAUGGUUAAGUGAGAGGAGUUUUGUGCAAACACAUCUUUUAUCUAUCUAUUUGAUUUAAACAAGUAUAAGUUUAUCAUAUUAGAAAUAUGAUUAGGACGUUAUAUUAGGCCCCAUGAUAAGAAUCUUAAUCUAGAAAAUAACUUUUAGUCAAUAAAAAGUAGCACUAGUUGCGUAAGUUCAAUUAUUAUUAUUAUUAUAUAUUAAUCUAAAAUUAUUAUAGAAGCUUCUAAACUCUAAAUUCAGAUCCAACUACGGAGUGAAUAUACAUAGUGGGGGAUGGGAGAAAGCAUAUGGACGGUGUGACAAAAAAAUAAAAGAAAUACUCCGUCCAUUCCAUUUGACUUACUAUUGUUUGACUUAAUACGAUGUAUAAGAGGAAAAAUGUAUCUUAGAAAAUUAUACGCUAAACAAUUUUUAUAUAAAUUGUAAAUCAUUUCAUUAAUUAAGGGUAGAUGGAGAAUUUUAAGUUAAAUUAUUUUCAAUUACAAUAAAAUGACAUUUUUAAAGACGGACUAUGAGAAUAGAGUGCCACGUAAAAUAAAACGAGAAAAUACUAUUUCCUUCGUCCCAUUUUAUAUGUCACCUUUUUUACUUUGCACUUGCAUUAAGAAAUAAUGUAACUUUAUCCUUCUACCCUUAUUUAAUGUUUUCUUAAGUCAACUUUAUGAAUAAAUGACAAGAUUAAUUAACUAUUCUAUCAAGGGUAUAAUAGACAAAAUAUGAUAAUUUAUGCAUAAAUUUUAAAUAGUGGCAAGUAUUGUGGUCCAUCUAUUUAUAGAAAGGAAUGACAUAUAAAAUGGGACGAAGUUGGUACUAUAUAUUACUCCCUCCGCUCCAUUUUAUAUGUCAUUCCUUUCUAUAAAUAGUUGGACCACAAUACUUGUCACUUUAUAAAAUUUAUGCAUAAAUUACCAUAUUUUUUCCUAUUAUACCCUUGAUAAAGUAGUUAAUUAAUCUUGAAAAUGUAUUCAUCAUUUAUUAUAAAGUUGACUUAAUAAAACAUUAAAUAAGAGUAAAAGAGUAAAAUUACAUUAUUUUUUAAUGCAAAUGUAAAGUAAAAAUGUGACGUAUAAAAUAGGACGGUGGGAGUACUACAAAAGAACGAGUCCGCACAUGAAUUUUAUAAGUACUACAUGUGUCUCGAAUUUAGCACCCUUUUGUCAACGUUUUAUAUUUUUGUUUACUUCGAAGCAAGUCUAUUCUAUACUAUCCAAUCAAUUAGGGGCGGCCGUUAAUCAGAUAUUAUUAGGCUAAAGAUAACAUAUUACUCUCUCUCUUUCUAAUUAUUUGUCUAUUUUUUUAAAUUGUUUUUAAUUACUUGUCCAUUUUGAUGAAUCAAGCAAGGACAAAUUUUUUUUACCUAUUAUACCCUCAAUUUAUUAUUUUGAAAAAGUAGAACUUCUUGAAAAUCUUAAGUUUUUAAUUUAUCCACUUCAUAAUUAAUAGGGGUAAAAUGGUAAACUCAUUAUGUCAAUAAUUGUUUUCUUAAUAUGUGUGUCAAUUAAAAAAUGGACAAAUAAUUAGGGAUAUAAAAAGUAUAUCGAAAUAAUAUAAUCAAAUAUUAUGCUAAAGAUAAUAAACAAAACUUUGAAGAAUUAUAAAUAAGAUAGCAAAAAAAUCCAUUAGAUAAUACAUAGUAAAUUAACAUGGUUCAACGAUUAGUGAUGGAAUCUGAAUAUGAUUCAAGAUUUUCACUAUUAAUGAAAUUCAAUAGGCAUAAUACAUAAAUGUGCUCUUUAACUUGACUUCAUUUUAUGUUUAUGUCCUUCAAUUUUGAGUAUGCACAAGUAUGCACUUAAACUUGUAUAAAAUUGAACAACUAGCCACAUGAGUUCUACAUGACACAAUACACUUAAGACACCAUGUAGGAUAAAAAAUGACAUGUAGGAUACCAUGUAGGACCUGUGUGUCUAUUUUUUCAACUUUAUACAAAUUUAAAUGUCUACUUGUGCACACUCGAAGUUGAAGGGCAUAAAUGUGAUUUGAAGCCAAGUUAAAGGGUAUAUUUAUGUAUUAUGCCUAUUCAAAAUAUGAAUAAGUAAACAUACAAAUUAGAUGACUACAAUAAUACAAAGACAAUUUUUUUUUUAAUUAUAUGUAUAAAUAGUAUAAUUUUCCAUUGAAGGUGGUUCAUUUGAUUCCUCACUUCUUUCCCUCAUUCAAAACUAUGCAAUAUGAGACUUUCAUGUCACAUGGAAUCCUUCCCUUUUUUUUUUUGGAAAUCUUAAUAGCUCAGUUAGUUGACUGACUAUUUGAAUUCUCGAUUCCCCAUACUGUAAUCCUCUACUCCCAAUUUUUUUUCAUUACCUUCCUCACAUAUGUAUAAUACCGAAUCCAAAGAUCUAAGAUGAGAGAAUUUUGGGAUAGCCGCCACUCCAACUAGCGCCAUGUAUUAUCCAUACUAGAUCUGACCAACUGUCCAUCCUACCCUCCUCUACGUUCUUGACAACCCAUUUUUGUCUUAGUCAAGUCUUUUAGUGGCACAUUUUGACCUUCUUUUCCAUUACUUAGAAAAAGUGAGCUAUUAUUCAGAUACAAAAUACUAUCAUUAUCGCCUAGAAAAUUAGACAUUCAACCCGUAAUCACAAUGAUCCAAUUACAAAUGCUUUGAACCCCCUAGGUCUAGACUGGCUCUGGCCCCUGGUUUUAUCACUUGACCUUCACAUGAGUAAACUCGUUGAUAUAGAGGAUUACAGUAUCGAUUUCUUUAAAAGAAAAAAAACCUUAAUUUAUAAAAGUUCAAAAGAUUUUAAUUCAAUGUUUGUAAGUCAGAAAACAUAUUUCAUAAAACGGUUGCAAAUCACAUCGAAUAAGUUCCAUUGAUUGGUGUAUGGUUCUCAUAAGGGAAGUAACAGCAGCAUAAGCCAUAUAUCCAAAAAAAGGGACUAUCUCUCACUCUCAGUAUGAAAAUGGACAAAUUAAUUGCCACAAGUUAUGUAAUUUUUCAGUUUUUAAGAAAACAGAAAAUGCAAAGAUCUUACUUUUACUAACUAUUUCCAUCACAUUUCCAGCUAGGUCCACUAACAGGAUAAAGUUGAAAGAUGUGAGGUCACUAACCUUAACUUCAAACAAAAGGUCUUUCUUUUAGUUAGGUUCAUAAUCCAUGUAGUGCUGUCUACUCUCUAGUCUCUAUCAACCAGCUCAAGUUUAAGGGUGUGUUUGGUAUGGAGGCCUAGUUUUUCUCAACUGUUCCAGUGUGAAUGUUUUAGUAAUAAAGCUGGUGCCACUGGAUUUAGCCUUUGCGAGGUAGAUUGAGGACUCCCAAGAAAGGAAACACACGUUAUAUAUGGAGCCUGUUCUGGCCUAUACAGUCUGUAUGUACAUAAAAUUUGGAGUAUCUAAAGAACCACUGACAAAUGAAAACGAACAAAAACAAACACUCACACAUUUGGCUUCUGAUUUGACAUUUAUUUCAGAGAACUGGCUAGUCCUCAGAAUACCUUAACUAUUUGAAUUGAUAAAAUCUUACCUAAAAUAAUAAUUGAAAAAAGUAUUUGAAAAAAUUAUUUAUAUAAAAGAUAUUUAGUAGUAAUUUACAUCUAAAAAUUUAGAAAAAUAAAUAAAUACAAAGAAAGUUUAUUUAGAUUUUAGGUCUUUAAUUAAAAUUUUGCUUUAGGCCUUGAAUCAUGUUGAGCCGCCCCUGAUCAUAUUACUCACUCAGUCAAAAUUUAUGUGGUACUAUUUGAUUUGAUGUAACAUUUAAUAAGGAAAUGGAGACUUUUAAAAUAUGUGGUGUAAAACAAAUCUUUAAUCAUUUGUGUUACAUAAAUUGGGACAGAUGAACUAUCACACACAUCAUAAUUAAGUGAUUUAAUGAAGUCGAAAGAUAAAUAUUAAUGGAUCAUGGUUAAGUGAGAGGAGUUUUGUGCAAACACGUCUUUUAUCUAUCUAUUUGAUUUAAACAAGUAUAAGUUUAUCAUAUUAGAAAUAUGAUUUAGGACCUUAUAUUAGGCCCCAUGAUAAGAAUCUUAAUCUAGAAAAUAACUUUUAGUCAAUAAAAAGUAGCACUAGUUGCGUACAAGGAGCUACCACUUGAUGAACUUCCACAGAACCACAUCCCAUAAGUUCAAUAGUUUUCACACUAUAAGAACUAGAUGUUUUUUUCCGCGUGAAUCAAUGAAAAUUGUAUGUUAUAAAACAUGAUUUUUUCCAUUUUAAUUUUAUUAAACUAAUUCACUAAGAAAAUCCAUAACAAAACAUAAGUUCUCAUUGAAAUACUGGAAAUAGUCACUUGGAAAUUUAGGAGUUUUAGGAAAUUAUGCAUCAAAACUUAGGAAGAGGCGGCUCAUAUAGAAAUUUGUUGUUAAAUCAUAAUAUAUACUUUUACAUAUGAAUAUCUUUAUUGAUUUGGUUAAAAUUAUAAUUAAAAAAAUUACAAUACAAUAUAUAUAGAUUCACAUAAAUUUAAUACUGUAAGUUAAUUAUUAUUAUUAUUAUAUAUUAAUCUAAGUUCAAUACAAUAUAUAUAGAUUCACAUAAAUAGAACUUUUUGAAAAUCUUGAGUUUUUAAAUCAUCAACUUCAUAAUUAAUAUGGGUAAAAUGGUAAACUCACUAUUUCAAUAAUUAUUUUCUUAAUAGGUGUGUCAAUUCAAAAAUGGACAAGUAAUUAGGGAUAGAAAAAGUAUAUCGAAAUAAUAUAAUCAAAUAUUAUGCUAAAGAUAAUAAACAAAACUUUGAACAAUUAAUGUAUGUAUGUACAUAAAAUUUGGAGCAUCUAAAGAACCACUGACAAAUAGCUAUACGAAAGAUCAUAUACAAUUAAAUUACAAGCCAUUUGCAAUCAUCCUGCCACCUUAUGCAGAAAAAAUGAAAACGAACAAAACAAACACUCACACAUUUGGCUUCUGAUUUGACAUUUAUUUCAGAGAACUGGCUAGUCCUCAGAACACCUUAACUACUCGCUGCAAGAAAAAAAAGGCAACAAAAAAUAGGAAAAAUAAUAUAGUUAGAUGUCCAUAAUUAAGGAACAGGAGAACAUUAUAGACAAGAAUGAGCAUGCAGGUAUAAGAACUUACACAUUAUUGCGGCAAGAAGCAACUUCUUUCUCAAAGUCAACAUCAUCAUCUUCAUAUGUUGUCACACUCUUGGGAAUGCUAGCCACAAAAGAUGAAAAAUGAAAUGUUACACUUCCCAAAAUCAAGAAUGAACAUGCAAGUAUAACAACUUACACAAUAUUGGAAGGAUUCGAAUCAAUCACAAUGACAGCAUCAAGAACUUUGUUGAAUUGGUGCAAUUUGACUUACUAAAGCUAUUAUCCAGAUCAUUAUCGAGUUUACUAUGAUGAUGAGUUGUCAAAAUCACAACAGUGAAACCUUGUUGAAAUCACUCAACAUCAAAGGGAGCUUUGGAUACAAGCAGUUAUCAUCAGUGAUGAAGAAGAAAAGAACUGUUCAUGUAAAAUGCAAAGCUUCGCUUUGGAUGUAUUGAUCUAAUGAGUAUUUAUACAAGAAAUGUAAAACUAAUGCUCUGUAACAAACUAACUGAAAGGAAUCUUCUAACUAACUACCAGCUGUACUAUACAACACUAUUAACUACCAGCUGUACUAUACAACACUAUUAACUACCAGCUGUACUAUACAACACUAUUAACUACCAGCUGUACUAUACAACACUAUUAACUACCAGCUGUACUAUACAACACUAUUAACUACCAGCUGUACUAUACAACACUAUUAACUACCAGCUGUACUAUACAACACUAUUAACUACCAGCUGUACUAUACAACACUAUUAACUACCAGCUGUACUAUACAACACUAUUAACUACCAGCUGUACUAUACAACACUAUUAACUACCAGCUGUACUAUACAACACUAUUAACUACCAGCUGUACUAUACAACACUAUUAACUACCAGCUGUACUAUACAACACUAUUAACUACCAGCUGUACUAUACAACACUAUUAACUACCAGCUGUACUAUACAACACUAUUAACUACCAGCUGUACUAUACAACACUAUUAACUACCAGCUGUACUAUACAACACUAUUAACUACCAGCUGUACUAUACAACACUAUUAACUACCAGCUGUACUAUACAACACUAUUAACUACCAGCUGUACUAUACAACACUAUUAACUACCAGCUGUACUAUACAACACUAUUAACUACCAGCUGUACUAUACAACACUAUUAACUACCAGCUGUACUAUACAACACUAUUAACUACCAGCUGUACUAUACAACACUAUUAACUACCAGCUGUACUAUACAACACUAUUAACUACCAGCUGUACUAUACAACACUAUUAACUACCAGCUGUACUAUACAACACUAUUAACUACCAGCUGUACUAUACAACACUAUUAACUACCAGCUGUACUAUACAACACUAUUAACUACCAGCUGUACUAUACAACACUAUUAACUACCAGCUGUACUAUACAGGUUUUCAGUGUUCUAGUAGAUCUUCUAGGUUGAACAGAUACAUCAAUGAGAGGGGCAACAUGAUCUGGAGCAGUAGGUGGUUCAAGUAUACGAGAAACUGUGGAUGGUAAAGGGGAAUGAAUUAUAGGUUCAGAUGGCAAAUUGCAUGUGACAGGUGAUUCUCCUAGAUUAGUUUGAGAAAUGCAAGUGGUAGGACUGUCAGUAUGAUCAAAAAUGUCAACAAAAGGAACAGAAGGCAACACAGAGGAAGGAAUGGAAGGAGUUGAAUUUGUAUGAAAAGGAAAAAUGUGUUCAUAGAAAACAACAUCCCUAGAUACAUGUAUCCUCUUUGUGGACAGGUUAAGGACCUUAUACCCUUUAGUCUCAAAAGGAUAUCCAAUGAAAAUAUGAGGUGUAGUCCUAGGUUCAAAUUUUGUUCUAUGGGGUAUUGGAACAGUAGGGUAACAUAAGCACCCAAAGCUUCUCAUAUGAGAAUAAAAAGGCUUUUUGUUAUAUAAUGCUUCAUAAGGGGACUUAUUUUUCAACACAGUUGAGGGAAGUCUAUUGAUUAUGUAUGUGGCACACAAAAGACAGUCUCCCCAAUACUUUAUAGGGAGUUUAGAUUGGAAUAAAAGUGCUCUAGCAGUUUCAAGAAGGUGUUUGUGUUUUCUUUCCACCACACCAUUUUGUUGUGGUGUGUAUGGACAUGUUUUCUGGUGGAGGAUACCUUUGGUUUGAAAGAAAAGAGUUGUUUCUGAAUUGACAAACUCUAAGCCAUUGUCUGUUCUGACUGUCUUCACAGUGGUGUUAAACUGAUUUUCUAUCAUGGCAACAAAAACUUUUAAUGCUUGUAGAGCAUUGCUCUUGGAGCUUAACAAUGUGGUCCAUGUAGAUCUACUGAAAUCAUCUACUAUUGUUAUAAAGUACUUAAAAUGGUCAUGUGUAGGUGUAUGGUAUGGACCCCAUAAAUCUACAUGUAACAACUCAAAAAUGAAAGAAGUUAAAAAGGUUCUUGUUUUGAAAGGGAGUCUUUCUUGUCUUGCCAUAGGACACACUGAACACAUAAAAGGUUGUUGUGGUGAAAAACUAGCAGGGAUAGUGGAAAUGCAUUUCAUUUUGACAAAAGGAACAUGUCCCAAUCUAUUGUGCCACAGAACAUUUACAUCAUUUUUAGCAUGUGCAUGAUGAUCUGAAACUGUAUUAUGCAAAUGAGAAGGAGAAGCUGAAAAAGAAGGAACAUGAGACUUGGCAACAAAAUCUUUAUUUCUCAAAGUCCCUUUUUCAGGGUAAUGUGUACAUUUAUGAUUUUUCAAACAAGAAGUAUCAGCUGCAACAUGAGGUUUACAAGAAUUGCACAAAUUUAAAUUGCUAGAUGAGGUUGAGUCUUUCAGAAACAAUGAACUAGAUGGGUUGGAACUCUGGACACACUUGGGACAUAGAAAAUAUAGGCCAUCUUCUGCCCUACCAAUCACCAGAGGCCUCUUCAUUGAAGGGCCCUGCAUGUAACAAGAAACUUUGUUGAAACUGACAGUGCAAUUUGAAUGUGAAGUCAUGGUAUGAAUAGAGAUUAAGUUGUAUUUGAAAGAUGGAAUGAAGAAAACCUUUUUCAAACUAAUCAUGGGAGACAAUGUCACACUACCAAUUUGUGUUACCUUAACCUUAUAUCCAUUUGGCAAUACUACUAAUAUUGGAUAUGGGAGUGUGAUAAUAUUGUGCAGUAAGGAUAUGUUGAAAGUCAUGUGGUUUGAUGCUCCAGAAUCUAGUAUCCAUGAGUCAGACUUAUUUUUGAAACAUUCACAUGAUAGUUUCCCAAAAUCAAUAGAGGAGGUGCAAACUAUAGUACCUGCAAAGUCAACAGUGCCACCAGUGAAAUUUGAGUUGCCAUCAUCACCAUGCUCUCCCUGAAAAUGUUGAAGCAUGUCCUGUACUCGACCAUAUUGAUCUUUGGUAAGAUUCACACUGUACAUCUCCUCAUGAUUAGAGUUAUCUGCAGAUCUCUUCCCAUUCUCGGAAUCUUGUGCACAAUGGACAUUUGCGACUGCCCUAUGUCCAUUACCUUUGAAUCUAAUGCCCUGUGGAUUAUGUCCUCCUCGAACAUUGUUAAAUCUCUGAUUUGAGCCUUGGUAGUCAUUGUUUCUCUGAUUUGGAACUGGUUUGUUGGAAUUUGGAUUAGAAGAUUGGCGGUUGAAGGUUUGGUUUGAAUUGGAUGGAUAACCAUGAAGCCGAUAACACUUCUCAACAAGAUGACCAGUUCUCUUGCAAUAGUCACAGAAUUUGUCUUUGUACUGCAGAGAGGGUUUGGAAGUAUUUGUGGUAUAAUUUGUUCUGUAAUUGGAGGAUCUGCUGGUACCAACAUGUAACGCAGCAGACUCCAAGUUUGGGUGAUUGGCUGGCUUAAUUUCCCUCUGUUGUUCCUCCUGAACCAACAAGGAAAAAGCUUGCGCCAUAGAUGGCAAAGGAUUCAUCAUGAGUAUGCUACCUCGCAUUAUUGUAUAAACUUCAUUAAGUCCCAUAAGGAACUGAAUCAAACGACGAUCCUGCUCCACCUUGUGAACAAUUGCCUUGGCUCCACAAGUGCAAUCACAGGUGCAAUUAGCUUUGGCACUCAAAGUACUAAGCUCUUCCCACAACUUCUUCAAUUUGGUAUAAUAUCCAGUUAUAUCCAGUGAUCCUUGAGACGUAUCAUUGAUCUCUUUUUGGAUUUGAUACAGCUUCGCUCCAUUAGUUUGUUCAUACCUGUCCUCCAAUUCUUUCCAUAGCUCUGUUGAAUCCACAACAUACUCAACACUAUCAGCGAUUUCCUUCGAUAAGGAGUUAAGAAUCCAUGAUGUGACAAUGUCAUCACACCUUUCCCAUUGCCUGUAGGUUGGAUCAAUGCUUUUGGGUCGCCGACAUUCUCCAUUGAUGAAACCCAAUUUGUUCUUCACUGACAGUGAUCGUAGAACACUCCUCCUCCAUGAUCGAUAACCAAUCCCGGCAAACGGUACUGACACCAACAUAGCACCCGGAUUAUCAGAUGGGUGCAUAUAUAAGGGAUGGUUGGAAUCAAUUGAGGGAACGACUGAAUCACUUGACUGAGCAGAAUCACCUGGAAUGGCCAUUUCUCAGCAAGAAAAAAAAUCGAAGAACACCACAGAAGAAAACAGAGAAAAUUUGAUCUGAAAACGAAUACAAAUCGAACACCUCAGAAUCGAGUGUGCUCUGAUACCAUGUCAAAAUCACAACAGUGAAACCUUGUUGAAAUCACUCAACAUCAAAGGGAGCUUUGGAUACAAGCAGUUAUCAUCAGUGAUGAAGAAGAAAAGAACUGUUCAUGUAAAAUGCAAAGCUUAGCUUUGGAUGUAUUGAUCUAAUGAGUAUUUAUACAAGAAAUGUAAAACUAAUGCUCUGUAACAAACUAACUGAAAGGAAUCUUCUAACUAACUACCAGCUGUACUAUACAACACUAUUAACUACCAGCUGUACUAUACAACACUAUUAACUACCAGCUGUACUAUACAACACUAUUAACUACCAGCUGUACUAUACAACACUAUUAACUACCAGCUGUACUAUACAACACUAUUAACUACCAGCUGUACUAUACAACACUAUUAACUACCAGCUGUACUAUACAACACUAUUAACUACCAGCUGUACUAUACAACACUAUUAACUACCAGCUGUACUAUACAACACUAUUAACUACCAGCUGUACUAUACAACACUAUUAACUACCAGCUGUACUAUACAACACUAUUAACUACCAGCUGUACUAUACAACACUAUUAACUACCAGCUGUACUAUACAACACUAUUAACUACCAGCUGUACUAUACAACACUAUUAACUACCAGCUGUACUAUACAACACUAUUAACUACCAGCUGUACUAUACAACACUAUUAACUACCAGCUGUACUAUACAACACUAUUAACUACCAGCUGUACUAUACAACACUAUUAACUACCAGCUGUACUAUACAACACUAUUAACUACCAGCUGUACUAUACAACACUAUUAACUACCAGCUGUACUAUACAACACUAUUAACUACCAGCUGUACUAUACAUAUAUAUACAUACAUCAUACAUUAUAAUCUCAACAAAUAUUAUUGUAAUUUGUAAAUCAAGGAAGAAGAUGUCUUACAAAAGCUCACGAGUAUGGACCUCGAUAGAGCUUCCAUAGUUGUCUUGAAUGUCCUGUUGAAUUUGCUUGGCGGAAUUCCCAACAGAUUGUUGACAUUUACUUAUAUCAAUAAGAGCAAGUGUGGUUAUAUCUGCAAAAUCUCGAGGGAUUGAAUCCAAAGAAUAGCAAUCUUUAAGAAAAAGUCGUUCAAGGUACGGAAAGUGAUCACUACUAGCUCUCCAGUACUGAAUGUAUACGUCAUCCAGAGACAAGAACUUCAAGUGAGGAAACCCUUCCUCAACUACUUCCCACUCCUUGCCUUUGAAGGCAUUGCCUGAUAGUUUAAGGACCUCGAGUUUGGGUAAUUUACCAACAAUGCUCAAAUCCCUCCAUGCCAAAGAGAAUUCUCCCCUAAAAGUUAAACUCUUAAGGUUUUGUGGAAAAGCAUCCGGAGGAGGUAAGAGUAAAGUUGGAACAUCAGUUGGAGGUGCAGUUCCCCCAAAAUCAGUCUCUUUGUGCAAUGUUUCCGUCUGAAACCUCAGAGGAUCUUGCGGAGUAUAACCUGAAGGUGCAGUGUUUUUUAGAAAGCAAGCAUCAUAUGGAUGAUAAAAACCAAAUGCCAAUUUCUCGAGCUGAUACAAGUAGCGAAAAUCAUACAGGUCCUUGUGAUUGCGAAAGUCCUCUCGGACGCCAAAUACUUCCAACUUCUUUAAAUUGGGAAAUAGUCUAAAAAAAGACUCUGUACAAUACCGAGGAUUCAAUUGAUUGAGGCAUUGCAAACUUUUCAAAACCAAUCUGUUCUCUGUAGGCUCAUGACUCCGCAAGUAAUUCCAGCCAAUACACAGCGUCCUCAAUUGUGGCAUCGUCAAAAUUUCCGAUGGUAAUAUGAAAGGAUAACCUACUUUACAGGUAAAUGGAGAGUAAAGUUUAAAAGUUUGCAGAUAGCAUAGGCUUGAUAUCGAUAGAGGAAUGUCUAUUAUUGAUGAGGGAACAGCUUCUUUCGAUCUUAGAUACUGCAGUACGCAAGGAUAAAAACACAAACAUAGGUAUCUCAAAUGAAUUAGAGAAAGUACUCCACUGGGAAAGAUUGGGCAUAUAGUCAAACCAAGAUCUAGUACUCUUACUAGCUUGAAAGACAAUUCCAGUGUGACGCAUUUGAAUAAACGCAACAUGAUAAUAGAAUGAGCCUCACUGUUAUGACACCAAGCCAAUUCUUCCUCCUUAUAGAUACUGAUCCGACUUCGACUCUUAAAGGAACACUGCAUGGAUUGUGCACAUGAAUUUUGAUCACUCUUUCCUCUGAUAACAUUCACAAAAUUCAUGUUUCGAGCUUCCUUCAAACAGAGUUCACGGGUCACAUCAUGCAUUCCACAUCUCUCUAUUUCCCCAUCAAAACUCAAAUUGUGGAUAGAAAUUAGACUUCUAUCUACAAGUUCGUUUAUACAUGUUUCUGCCACCUCUUCUAUGCUUUUUCCCUCUUCUUCAUUCAAAAACCCCUCUACAGCCCAUAACUCAACAAGUUCACUUACAUAAAUCUGUUCAUCCUCUGCGAAAAUUGCAAAAUACAGAAAACAUGGUUUUAGGUGAGAAGGCAAGUGAUGGUAACUCAAAGCCAACACUCUCAUGCAUUUUGCUUCAAGAUCUGUGCUUACCACCGAACUUACAUUCUCCGCAACAUUUUGCCACUCAUCCAAUGUUUUACUGAUUUUGGAGAGAAGUCCAGCAAUCACAGUAAUUGCUAGAGGUAACCCUCCACAUUUUAAUGUCAAUUUGUUUCCCAAUAUUUUCAAAUUCAGGAGAAUAAGAACCUUCUUUUUCAAAGAUCUUUUGUGUAGUAAAUUCCAACUUUCGUCAAAAUUCAUGAGGCGCAUAUGAUGAGGAGGCUUACCUGAACUAGCAUAUUCAGCCACUUCCACAUUCCGAGUAGUCAGGAGUAUUCUGCUUCCAUUAUUACAGUCUGGGAAACAUUGUUUUAUAUCAUCCCAAGCUUCUGUAGUCCAUAUGUCAUCAAUGACUACCAAGUAUCUCCUGCCUUUCAGAUUCUUUUGCAGUCGGUCCGCUAGCUGAUCAUCAGGUUCAUUACUUAUCGAAGAAAGAAGGCCUAGGAUUACAUUUCUCACACAAUACUCUUGUGAAACAGUUGCUUUUGCACGAAUAUCAAAUCGAGACAUAAUGUAAGGAUCACUAUAGAGUUUUGUAGCCAAAGUUGUUUUCCCGAUACCUCCCAUCCCUACGAUUGAGACAACUUCUAGUUCCCUUCCUCCUCUAGCAAGUUGAUCCAGCAUCAUCUCAAAUUCAUUUUCACGGCCAACCAUUAUAUUCUCGGGCUGCUCAACAUCAUGUUCAGGUAAACUGACAAGUGAGCUAGUUUGUGGUUUUAGAUCUUUCAUGCUGUCCGAUGCUGCCAUCCACUGUUUCACGGUGGAAUCAAUGCAUUCUAGUGCUUGUUCCAAGACGAAAAAAAUCUCCCACAUAGCCCUGCUUCUUUCCUCCAAAUUCUGUGCUAAAAAAACAUUUCUUGAUUCCGAGUCAACCAUAUCUUCUGUUGUGUAUGCUACCUCUACGAUUUCAACUUCCAAGAUUGUUAACUCCUCAUGAUCGCCCGUUAUAUUGCAGGAAUUCUCCAGAAUAGUUCUUAAAGAUUCGAGCUUUUCAUAAAACGGUUGCAAAUCACAUCCAGUAAGUUCCAUUGAUUGAUGUAUGGUUCUCAUAAGGGAAGUAACAGCAGCAUAAGCCAUAUAUCCAAAAAAUAGAAAUAUCUCUCAGUAUGAAAAUGGACAAAUUGCCACAAGUCAUGUAAUUUUUCAGUUUUUAAGAAAACAGAAAAUGCAAACUUCUUUCUUUUACUAGGCUAUUUCCAUCACAUUUCCAGCUAGGUCCACCAACCUUAUCAUCAUGUAGACAAAAGCAGAGACCAAAGUUUAAAAAAAGAAAAAGAAAAAAAGACAGGAUUCUAACUGGAAAAAGUUGAAAAAAUUGUGACCAUUCAUUAUUAUACCUUACACUUAUCUAUUCAUGAAUAUAAGUAGGGAAAAGGGCCUCAUUUACCCUGAACUUUAUGAUUUGGAGCUGAUAUACCCUUCGUUUAAAAAAUGGCCCAUAUAUGCCCCUGCCGUUAUAGAAAUGGCUCAUAUAUGCCCUUUUACUUAACAGACCAAUAUUUAAUAAAUUAAAAAUUCAUUUUUUUAUGCUUUAAUUUGAGAAAAUGCCACGUGGCUCUUAAAAUACCCCACCCAAUAACUUUUCAGCAACCCGACCCAAUGGAAACAAGAAAACCCCAUCCACUUAAAUAAACCUAGCCCAUUUCAUUCUAUGGUCUCCACUCUCCACGCUUGACAUGAAAAAAAAUCAAAAACUUGUUAGGGUUUCAGUGAGCUCUAAACUGGUGUCAAUCAAUCUCAAUAAUGUUCAAAAUCUUAGGUAAGUUUCGAUUAUUUUCUUCCCUUACUUUUAAGGAUCUUUGGUGUUAAAAAUAUAGGAUAAUAUGUGAGAAAAGUGUAACUGAGUUUACCUAUGUGCUUUUUUCCCUUGACAUUCUGUCCAUGGAAGGUUUAUUUUCUUACUUUAAUACAUGAGUUUAUCUCUUUGUAUGCAGAGAUGGAAUCUUUGUUGGUCCCCAAAUAGUUAUUGUCUCUUUAGUAUUUUAAAAUUCAUUUUUCAAUUGGUUGGUGUUAAAUGCUAAGGUGGUCCCUUAUGUCUAAUUUAUUUGCUUGUUGCAGGUGUCAUUUUGAAGGAUGAUUAAAGAAGUGGAUAUUGUUUUCAACUAUGGGGGCAAUAGGGUAAUUUCCCCAAAGCUGGGAUACAAUAUAAAAUUUCAGCACACCUGGUAUUAUAAUACUUGUUUAGUUUGUUAUGAUGAUUUGUGUGAAGCUUUUACUUCCAAAUUUGGAUUUAAGGAAGUUCAACAAUUGUUGGUCACUGGUCCAUCUGGUACUUAUUAUGUAAUUGAAGAUAAUGAUGGAAUUAAGACUCUUCAAUACUUAUUUUCAGAAGAUUUCAAGGUAAUAGAUUUUUAUGUUGUAGAUGCUCAUGAAUUGAGAGUUUCUGCCACAAAUAUCAUAUAUCAUACUGAAUCAUAUUUUGUGGAUGUUGAAGCUGCUACUGAUUGUGAUUAUAGUGAUGUGGAGGAUGAUACUCUUUAUGAAAUGGGCAACAGUUGUGAAAUUGUUGAAUAUAAUGUUGAAGUGCUUCAACGUUAUGAACAUGAAAAAGAGAGAGUUGUGAGUGAUGGACUUGAAAAGUUUAAGGAAUUAGAAAUGGGUAUGACCUUUAAGACUAUUGAAGAACCUAGGCAGGUUGUUAGCUUUUAUGCUAUGGCUAACAAAAGAAGUUGAAAACAAAAAAAAGUGAUACAAAAAGAAUUAGGUAUGAGUGUUAUGAUGGUUGUCCCUUUUACUCUUCUCAUAUCUAAGGAUGGAAAAUCAGCAACAUUUAAGGUUAAAACAUUGAUGCCUAAGCAUACUUGUGGUGAUUCUUUUGUUAAUCCAUUGGAAACUUAUCAUACCUUGGCUGUUUAUUUUAAGGAUGAAGUUCUAAACAAUCCAAAAUACCCUAUCAAAGACAUGAGAGGAAUUCUUGAAAAAAAAUUCAAGUUGAAUGUCUUAAGAUCCAAACUAAAAAGAGCCAAAACAAUGGCUCUUGAUAAGUUGGAAGGCAGUUUCAAAGAUGACUACAAUAGGCUUGAAGCUUAUGGUCAAGAACUUAGACAAUCAAAACCAGGAUCUGAUGUGGUAAUUAAUAUCUCUAAAGAUGCACUUGAACAAGGCAUAAGAAGGUUUUUGAGAAUGUACAUUUGCUUCAAGGCUUUGAAGGAUGGAUGGAAAAGUUUGAGACCUAUAAUUGGUUUAGAUGGAACAUUUCUCAAAGGAAAAUGCAAGGGGCAACUAUUAGUAGUUGUUGGGCAAGACUCAAUGAAUCAUUUUUACCCAAUAGCUUGGGCAGUGGUGGAAAAGGAAAACACAGGAACAUGGACAUGGUUUAUUCAGUUGUUGAGGAUUUCGUUGGAGUUGAAAAAUGGUGAAAUUGUGACAUUUAUGUCUGAUAUGCAAAAGGUAGCUUUAAAUUUAUUUUUUUCUUAUUGCCUUUUCUUUAUCUUUUUUCUUACUGUCAUUUUUUUCUUUUCGAUUUUUAGGGCCUGUUCGAUGUUGUAGCUAAUGUUGUUCCAGAAGCACACCAUAGGCUUUGUGUGAGGCAUAUAGAAUCUAACUGGUGCAAGAAAUGGCGGAGUGGUGAAGAGAAAAAAUUGAUGUGGUGGUGUGCAUGGAGUACCUAUGAAGAAGAAUUCAAAGACACUUUGAAGGUGUUAGGAAAGGUGGAUGAAGAUUCAGCUAGUGAUCUUCUUCAUUUUCCUGUAAUUAAAUGGUGUAGGGCAUAUUUUGAUACUCAAUGUAAGAAUCUAAUGGUAGACAAUAACUUCACCGAGUCUUUUAACAGUUGGAUACUUGAAGCUAGAAAAAACCAAUCAUUAAAAUGUUGGAGGAAAUUAGAGUGAAGGUGAUGAAUAUGUUGGUGAAAAAUGAAAAAAUGGGCAGAAAAUGGCAAAAUGAUAUCAGUCCAACGGUUAUGAAAUUGUACAAUGACUAUCGAUUAAUGGCUACCAAUGGUACAGUUGAGUUCAAUGGAGAUUAUGGUUAUGAAGUGAAAGAUGGAGACACGGACACACAUACAGUGAAUUUGGAGUUGAAGAAAUGCAUUUGUAGAUUAUGGGACUUGGGUGGAAUACCGUGUCACCAUACCAUCAAGGCAAUUUUGCAUAAAAAAACUGAACCAUUGGAAGAGGUUCAUUACUGCUAUAAAAAGAGGCUUAUUUGUUAACAUACAAGCACAAGUUGCAACCAGUUAGGGGUUCUCAAUUCUGGAAAAUCGACCAUGCUCAAGCAAUGGAACCUCCGAAAAUGGUAAAACUUGUUGGCAGACCCAAGAUGAAAAGAAAUAAAGAAACUGAUGAGGCAAGUUUGAGAAAGGGGGCAUGGAAGCAGUCAAGAAAAGGAACUCUAAUGAGAUGCAACAAAUGUGGUGAUUUCAAUCACAAUGCUAAGGGAUGUUAUAAGGUAAUCUCUCUUAAUAUUUUCUUUUAGUUAAAAGGUGUUCAUUUUUGUCAAUCACAACAAUUUUUUUGGGUUGAAGGACCAUGAAGACGGUGAAAGUUAGCAUGAAAGAAAUAAGAAAGCAAGCAAUCAAAAGUCGAGGAGUUGAGCAAGAAAAAACUCUAUUGUAGAGUAUGAGACAGAAGCUUCACCCCAACAAUUUCAGACAAAACAGUCGACUGCCUAUGGUCCUAAGAUCGGGAAUGAUGAAGAUCCAGCAUUGCGACCAAUGGUAAUUUUUGAGACAGAAACAAGGAUGGAAAAGAGGUCUCGAAUAUUUGAAGGAAUAGGAAGCAGGAAGAUUGUUUUUUAAGGGGAUGCAAGAGGAAUCUCGACCCCUUCGGAUCUACCAUAUUCACCAAAGAAGACUACUUGAAAGGGCAAGAAAGCAGUCACAAUUGAUCAGUUACAAGCUGAAGUAAAGAAGAAAAGAGUGAAACAAAUGGCAAUGAAGGGCAAAUGGCCCGUGGAUACUAAUGAUGAUCUAGUUUAGAAGUCGUUGUGUGGUUGAUCAUUUUUUGACAUUAGGUGGUUAUUUUGGAUAGUAUUAUAUGAUGUAAAUCCAAACAAUUUCUUUUGUUGCUAACCAUAUAAUAGAUAUUUGUGGUUGGUUUAACCACCAGAAGGUUAAUCUUCUUUUGCUGGUAACUUGUGUUAAGAUAAUUUUAUAAAAAUUGAGAAUUAUAUUCUACUGCAUCUGGUGUAAUUAUUGUUGAUUGUAUUUUGUGUGAGAGAGUAAAUUUAUGUGCUUUGAUUGGUAGCGUUGUUUAAAUUACGACUAAAAUUAGCAUUGUUCACGAUCUUCUUUGAACUAGUAGAUAGCUCACAGAUGAUUCAACGUGGAAUGUCAAGGAGUCAUUGAUGAUUCUCUAUCAUUUUACCUCGAGCUUUUGAUUCUCUUUCAUUACUAAAUAAUACAAAAGUUGACAAAAUCACUACACAAGACCAAAUAAGGUGAAUCAAAAGUUGUCAUAAAUCAAUACAAUGAACCAAAAGUUAAUUACACAUAAGUCACAAAACUGCAAAUGAGAUGAAAAAGUUUAGUCGCAUAAUAUGGCCUUGGAAUCUAUCAUUUAAAUUCCCAGAAAAGAUAUGAUCCUACAAAGUACUACUAUAUUUCCAAAUUUUACAAACUUUUUGCCUCAGUGAGUGAAGAAAAGAACCCAACUAAGCAACUGAAUGUAAAAUAACUUCAAACUUUUCUCUCGAAUUUUAAGAUUUCAUAAACGCAAUGACUCCGUCCACAGUUCGUUCGCGAACACUCUGAAUAUGUGGUGUGACGGCCAAUAAAACUUCAGCAGACUCUUGAUUUUCACUUGUAGCUGCAAGAUGUAUUAGCAUGUAAUUAUCACUGACAGUAUCCCCUGCCUUUACCACACAACGAAAGAAUGAACUGCCGCAACUGCUAGCAGAGGACACAUAUUAUCAUCUCCUAUUUGAGCAUCAAAAUUAGCAUGGUGUUUUAGCAAAACCGUAAUAGCAUCUUCCUGGCUGCGGUCUACAACGCAUAUUAAUGGUGUUCCAACAUCAACAUCACUUCGCAAAUCAACGUCUACACCUAUCGGUAGAAACAAUUUAACCAAUUCAAUAUGCCCAUUUCCUGCAUCAUUAAAUGGACAAAAUAAAACACAUAAGAAUAUCACUUCAAGCAAAGAAUAUCAAGAACAAAUUUACCCUAUAACUCUAACACCAAAGGUCCUUAAAAGAAAAGGGAAGAAAGUAAUCGAAACUUACAUAAGAUUUUGAACAAUAUUGAGACUGAUUGACGCCAAUUUAGAGCUCACCGAAACCUACCAACAUUUUGAUUUUUUUUCUUGUUGAGCGUGGAGAGUGGAGACCAUAGAAUUAAAUGGGUUAAAGUUUAUUUAAGUGGGUGGGGUUUUCUUGUUUUCAAUUGGGUCGGGUUGGUGAAAAGUUAUUGGGUGGGGUAUUUUAAGAGCGAUGUGGCAUUUUCUCAAAUUAAAGCAUAAAAAAAUGAAAUUUAAUUUAUUAAAUAUUGGUCUGUUAAAUAAAAGGGCAUAUAUGGGCCAUUUCUAUAACGGCAGGGACAUAUAUGAGCCAUUUUUUAAACGGAGGGUAUAUCAGCUCCAAAUCAUAAAGUUGAGGGGUAAAUCAGGCCCUUUUCCCAUAUAAGUAUGUUUCUUACAUACAAGAGAUUGAUGAUUUUAAUUCCAUUGAAAGCUACUUAGUAGAAUUUUCCAAAUCAAAGAGAGAGAAAUAUUAAGAUCCAAGUAGGAAUUUCUCUAUUCCUAGUUCGAUUCAAUUAACCAAGCAUAAAUAUCUCUUAAUAUACAAGAGAAGUUUAGACUCUAAAAGUCAAAUCAACAAAAUAUUGAUGGGCUAACACAUGAAAAACUACUGAGAAAAUCGCCUAAUUCCUGUAAAUUGUCCCUUAAAUACCCAAAAUGGACUCUAAAAAUUGUUAGAAUGUACGUAUUGCUCCCCCAACUCCCUACUGAGGGUUUUGUAAAGAUUUCGAUUAGAAAUCGUCCAUAAGUCAUAUCACUAAUAUAUUAAUGGUUAACACACACGACAAACUGAGAAAAUUAUCUAAUUUCUUUAAAUUGGCCCCUAAAUGCCUAAAAUGGACUCUAAAAGUUGUGAGACUGUACAUACUGCUCCCCCGACUCCCUACAGAGGGUUUCGUAAAUGUGUAGCAAAGAAAUCGUCUGAAAGUCAUAUCACUGAAAUAUUAAUGGGCUAACACAUACAAAACACUGAGAAAGUCGCCUAAUUCCUGUAAAUUGGAAUUCUAAAAUUGUGAGACUAUACGUAUUGCUCCAUUAACUCUCUAUGGAGGGUUCCGUAAAGAUUUCACAAAGAAAUUAUUCGAAAGACUUAUCACCAAAAUAUUCAUGGGCUAAUACAGACGAAUUGAGAAGAUCACCUAUUUCCUAUAAAUUAGCCGUGGGAUACCUAAAAUGGACUCUAAAAAUUGUGAGACUAACUCCCUACGAAGGGUUCCAUAUAAGUUUCGCAAAAGAAAUCAUUCAGAAAUCAUAUCACCAAAAUAUUUAUGGAUUAACACACACGAAAAAUUGAAAAAAUCGCCUAAUUCUUUUAAAUUGGCCCCUUAAUCCCUUUACGAGAUUAAUUAGAGAUGCGCGAGCGCGCGCACACACACACAUACACACACAUAUAUAUAUAUAAAGAAGAGAAGCUAGUUGUAGGGUUUGAUUGCCAUAAAAUACUUAGACAAUGUGGGUGACGCACAUUGUGAAUCUCAUGAAUUGACUCGUGGAUCAUUGUGAUAUUGGCCCAUGAAACUUAGUCUUAGGGAAAGAUUGUUGGGUGUGAGAUUGAAUUUCCACAUUUGAGAAGCUAUAUAUAAGGUGUAGGAUCUCUUAAGGGAAAAUUUCAUGUAUGGAAAACGUAUUUAAUGAAAUAACGCUCUAUAGGUAUAGUUUAGUAAUUACAUUCAAUGGGUAGUUUAGUUUGCUAUGAAGCAUUAAUUUUGUAUAUAAUGUUUUUUUUAAAAAUAAUUUAUACAAUAUUUUUUUUAAUAAAUGGAUACAUGAGCGCUAAAUACAGUAACAAAAAAUUUACAUAAUCCCAUGAUUCAAGCUAAUCGUUCAAAAUCAAAUAUUUUUCCAAAAAAGAGUUCUAUAGCAAUAGAAACACCAUAACAGCUGGUUUCCUCAAACGACUGAAGCAUACGAUUAAUCAAUAUUCUUGUAUAUUCAACACCAGGUAAGCGUUUCUUUCAAGGAAACUUCAUGUUUUGAACGGCAAGAAAGUAUACAAUUGAUUUGUAUAGUAUAUAAUUGAAAUUUUGGAAAACGGAUUAUUUUUGUUUUGUUCAUUCUAAUGGUUCGCAAUAAUUUAAUUUUGUUUAUACAAUAUUAGAUAAAUUUUAUAUUAACAAUUCAAUUCUAAUUUUUUGUUCAAAAAAUUGAAUGACACAAUUUGUAUAUAUGAAGUGUAUAUGAUUCGACAACAAUGGUGUGCUUUAAUUUGCUAAUUUUUGUUGUUGUUGUUGUUGUAAUUUUACUGUAUAAAUAAGUUAUACGAUUUGUAUAUUGUUUAAUUGGUAAUAUUGUAUAUAUGUAAGUAAUUGUAUACAAUUAUUAUACCAUAAAUAAGUGUAAGUAGUUGUAUAAAAUUACUAUGACAAUUAUAUAUAUGAAUUGUAUAUGAUUCAAUAAAAAAGGUGUGCUUUAAUUUGAUAAUUUUUGGUGUAACCUAAUGUUGACACCCAUUUUUGGACCUCCACAAUAUAUAUUAAUUCUCGAGCUUCUUAGAUUUCAAAUGAUUUGGAGUUAUUAGUUUAUAAAAUUUAAAUAUUUUUUAAAAAGAUUUUUGAAGCGAUUUAGUCGGCUUUAUAAUAUUUUAGAUAAUAGAUGGAUUUUACAUAAUUACUUAUAUAAUCAACGUGUAUUAUUAGCAUUUGGAAAUCAUCUUGAAAUAUUUUGCAUUUUUUAAAAUUAACUAUGUUAUUAAUUUAGUUUAGUAUAAAUUAAAGUUAUGAUUCUGAGUUAUUUGAAUUAGUUAGUUUAUAAUUAAAUUGUUUAUUUUAUUUUUGUUAAGAUUAAGAAGCUUGUUAAUUAAUUAAUAACAAUUCAUCUUAUUUAGACUUUGGCCGAAUUCACCAAUUAAUCCCAAUUUGGCUAAGUUUUAACUCUGAAUGGUUAUAAUCGUAAUCCAUUUAGCCCUUCUUGAUAUUGCAAUUUUAACCAUUCUCUAACCUUACCUCUAGCUUAUUUAAAUAAUCACCAAGGGGCUUUUAUCCUUGAUUACAUUUUCAGCAACACCCAAGCCCAUUUUUCCAUCAGCGUACAAUUAUUUCCAGCCAAUAAACUCCAGCAGUCCAUACCCACCCUCCAAUUCCCAUUACAGCAUACAACAAUUCCCAGUGAUUCAAACAUACACGUAGAGCAGCACCAACCGACCCCAUCCCCUUUAUUUCGCUCAUCUCCUCGUCCGUUUCAAAGUAAUAUUCUGGUGUUUGGAAGCAUCUGUUCUGUGAUUGUUCGUUGUUAUUUUUCAUAGGAUUGAUGAUGUUUUUAACGUAUUAAAUGUACACUUAAUUGUUUCCAUCAGUUAGUCCUAAUAUGGGGUCAAGUUCCGGAGAGCCAUUAAAGUUUUAUUUUGUUGUAUUUCUUUUCUUGAGCCUGCUCCUCGAACAUCGUCGAAUCUAUGUUCUUUUCGCUUUAGCAUCUUGAAUAUUGAAAGUUCCAUUCACUUUAUUACUGCUAAUGUUCUCUGUUCUUCCUUUGAGAUGAGGAAAAAUCUUCCGUACAAAUUGUAUGUUGUUGUAGCUGCUGUUCGGUAGGCAUAAGUGGUUAUUUUCUUCUUGAUUAAAUUUCAUGGCCGUCCUAUUUUGCAUUGCGAAUGUGUAACUGUUUAUUUGGUUUUUAUUCCUCCUCAUUUUCAGCAUAUUUCCAUAAUUUUGGUUGAGUGUAUUGCUUAUUCUAACUUGAAGCUAAAUGUUUAUAAUAAUUUCGUUGGUUGUCUGCUUAAAUGUGGGCUGAAUAUCAAUACUAUUCUUUCUAAAUGUUAAGUUAUACUCGUUCUUUUUGGUUUUUUUUCUUCCGAGGAUUUGCUUUCGACUAUAGUUCUGUUUCUUUUGUGCGUGUGUUUGGAGGUCGGCAUUUGGUUUUAUGCCAGCCUAGUUUUACAUAUCUCUUUUCACUUUCAUGGAAACCUUUGAUGUUAUAGCUCUACUUGUCGGAUUAGGUUUAAAAAAAUGAAAUGCAUCUUUGUUCUUCUCAAAUUUGUUCCAUGUUUUCUUGGUUUUUUAAAAAAAAUGGUAUAGCUGAUUAAAAUAGCAUUAGUUUAGCUCGAGAUUUCCUUAAUACCGUGUUGCUAUUUAUUCUAUCUCGCAUCUUAUAACUCGAUAUUAUUUGUCUUGGGUUCUUUGUGGCUUUUAUUUCGAAAGUUUUGCCUUGCUAUCGUGUCAAUUUUCGUGCUUGUUGUUUGUAGCUGCUUGAGAAAAUAUGAAUGACCACUUUAUAAAAAAAAAAAAAAAAGGAGUUAGAAUCAACAAUGGGUUGCUGUUUGAAUAAUUGACCUUCAGCUUAUUUUGCUCAAAUGUUAAGUCACGUAUGUUCCCAAACACGGUUCGUAUACAAUGGUACACGUGAUGUGUAUACACAGAUUUCUUGAAGGAAAAUGGGGGGCAAAAGCCCAAGGAAAUUUCAGCAAGUCCAAGAUUUGGGCCUAAUUUGAUAUUCCUCUCCUUGCUCUUAUUUAUUUUGUUAUAUUUGACUAACGUUUUGAUUAUCUUAUGAUUUAAUCUAAUUAAAUUUUCCAAGAAUGGUCAUUUCAUUUUAUUUUUCGAAUUAAAGUAUAUAUAUUUUAUUACUUAGUUUUUAUUUUAAUAUUUGUCUUGUUGACAUUUUAUGAACUAUUUCCCUUUAGAAAAUUCUCCUUUAGUUCAUUCCCCCUUAAGAUAAAUAAAAUGAUAAAAAUAAUAGUAAUAAAUAAAUGAGUUCAUUUACUUAGCUAAAUUUUUUUUUAAAUAAGUUAAAAUAAAUGAGUUCUUUUACUUAGUUAAAAUUUCAAAAAUUAGUCAAAGUCGUUAUGAGCUCUUUUAUACUUAGUUAAAAUUUCAAAAGUUAGUCAAAGUCAUUUUUAGUCAAAUCGUCGGUCAACCGCAAGUUAGCGGACAUUUUGAGGGCCUAACACCUUCUCGGAAUGUACAUUGAACUCGAACCCUUUUUCAAUUGAUUUUAUCUGUUUGAGUAUUUUGAAAAUCUUAAGUUUUUUCUUGAGUUUUACUAAAAAAAUUAAGUGGCGACUCUAUUCUUUUGGAAAUCGAUUUCUCUUAAACUACAAGUUUAAUCGAUUUUUUCGAAAUCCUAGUCAUUUUUCUUUUAUAUAUAUUUUCGAGUAAAACACCUAACUGUAUAUAUAAUAAUGUAAGGUUUGUAUAUUGUUUAAUUCAUACUAUUGUAUAUAACUUACAAAAUAUACAAAUAUAUAUAUAUAAUACAAUUAUGAUUUAAGCAAAAAAUAUACAUAUACUUCAAGCAAUUUUGUAUAUAACUAACAAAAUAUACAAAUAUCUAAAUACAAUUGUGAUUUAAGCAGAAAAUAUACAUAUAUUUCAAACAAUUUUGUAUAUAACUAACAAAAUAUACAAAUAUCUACAUACAAUUGUGUUUUAAGCAAAUAUUUGAUGUUCUUGAUCUAAUGAAGGAGACACAACCUCCUCAGAAUCACUAUCUUUGGCUUUCCUCGUACUUCCUCCUUCAACAACUUUAAUGUCGCUUGCCUUAACAUUGUUGAUGACUUCUGGGAGUGCAAUUGGGUCAUUUUUUUUCUUGGAUCUCAAUUCUUCAAUAGAUUUUUCCUGUAGAAUUUGUUUAGAUUUUUCCAUAGACCCUGCAUUGACUCCAAAAUCUUGAGUUAAACCGAGUGAAAAUGAAGGUUGAUUAUUAAAAACUUUGACAUGCAAUGACGUACCUCUCGCAAUCCUCUUAGAUGGAGUCGAAUCAUCCAUUUUAUUUUUUGUAAAAAUGAUAUAUAAUAAGUAAUGAGGGAAUUUUGAGAAAAAAUUAUCCAAACACUAACAUGCACAAUACAUAUACAAUUGAAAAAUGAAAAAGAAAAAAAGAAAAGAGGUUCACCUACGAUUUAUGCGGUUACCUGCAAAAAGUAAAACACGAUUGGAGGGAGAAAGUGAAAUUCGAAUUUCAAAUUGAUUUUAGGAGAAAAACAGGAAAUGAGGAGAGGAGAGGAGAGGAGAGGAGAGGAGAGAUAAAUUUAAUUUUGUAUAAAAUCAUAUACAAAGACCGAUGAAGGCUUUGUUGAUUCGGUAUACAAAGUGGUGGUGGGUCUCAUUAUUAAUGGCGAAAAAACUGAAAUUGUAUUUACUAACAGUAAAUAAAUUAAAUUAUACCCUCAAUGACUAAUAGCCUAGUAAUAUUUGCCAACUCACUUAAUUUUUCCAUAAUGUGUGAGACUUUUUGAAAGAAAAAAAAAUUGUGCUAACUUGGUUAAAGUGAACAAUUAUCAUACUCUAUUUAGAAUAUCUUUGGGCUAAUUUAUCCGAACAAAAACAAAUAAGUCCCCAAUCUAAGACCAUUAGCCGUUACUUGAAGACAAGACAUUCAUCAUUUGAACUAUUGAAUUAUGGACACAAGUCAAAGAAUCUUCCAACUAUUCAAGAAGUGUAAUUAAUACUUAAUAAAUAUAAUGUCAUCCUCAAUAACUUCAAAUAAUAUCCAAUAAUCAAUAUUAAAUUUUGAUAUUAAUAGAAAUAGUUAAUGAACCCCAAGUUGUAUAAUUUGAUUGUUGGGAUAAAAGAUAAAAGUCAAUCAAAAAUUUAAUUUUUUUAAGAAAUAAUCUUUUAAUUGUGAUUCAAUAAUGUAAUAACACAAGCAAUUACAAUACAUAUAAAUUUGCCAUGUCAGCAUAUGGUGUUCAUGAGUGCGUGUAUGACAAUAGUAAAAGUAUCUAUUUGGUCUUUUAGAUAAAUUUCAGUAUCUAAAUUACAAUUUUUGUCAAAUUUGAGGGAUUAUCUAGAUAUUUAGAUAAAAUUAUUUAUAUAUAAUUAUCUCUAAAUAGGCUCAUAAGCCAGUAAAUGAUACUUUAUAAAUAACUUCAGUUGUAAGUGUUUCUCUUACAAAUUCAAAUUAAUCCAAUGACAAAACCUUUUUAUGAUUUGACUGAAGAGGUUUCUGUGUUGCUGGUAUAUCAAGAUGAGGAAUUGGUUUCUAGUAAAUCAAAUGGUUGAUUUACUAGAGUUCAAUGGAUACAAAGGUGAUAUAUCUAGAACUAAUUUCUAUAUGACUUUCAUUAUAUAGAGAGAGAAUUAAUUGAUACGAUGUUUAUUUAGAACUUUUCCUUUCCUUGUUAUCAUAACAUUAUUUCUAUGCUUGUGUAUGUUGUGUUACAAGUUAAUAAAUGAAUUUGUAUGAUUAUAAGGAAUUAAAUUAGAUUCUUCAUUUUUGUUUUUGUUGUAACCAUGUCACUGACUCGAUUAGCUUUCUCCAUAAGGAUUGUGUAAUUUUUCAAAGAGGUUCAAUAAUUUUAUGUUAAAGUAUGUGUUGUUCUAAUUUUAUCGGAUAUUUUUCCAUAAAGGAGAUAGUUUAAGUUUAUGUUAAUAUUAAUUAUUUCACACUUGACUUUUUUGUACAAAAAAUAAAAAGGAAACUUAUUCUUUGUCAAUCGGGCCUAGAGUGACAUCGUGUUGGAGGAGAAAAUAAUUAGGACCCUCAUAAAUAAUUUUGAAAUCAUAGAUCUUUGAUUUUUACAAAUCUAUAUAUUGUUUUAGAAAGAAAACACAUUCACUUGGAUGAUUGAGGCACAAAAUAAGAGUAAGAGAUUGAAGAGAAGAGCGAGAUAAAGACAUGAUAAGAGAUGAUUUGGCUAUCAUUAUUGUCUGAGAUGACUUUUUUUUGUCUUUUAUUCAAUGUAGACAAACAAAUAAAUAGGGACAUGUGAUUUUCAUGAUUUUUUUCUUCUAUUUUUUUUUUUUGUCUUUUAUUAGAUGUAGACAAGAAAAGAAAUUUUUUUCAUGUGACUUUUCCUCAUUUAUUUUUGUUUCAUUUUCAAUUACUUUGUUAGUAUUUAAUAUCGAUUGUUCCUUAUUCAAGCUAUGUUAAAUAUUUUUAACAUAAUUUUUUUGGUAACUCCUUUCUAAUAAUUUGUUAAAUCUUCUAAACUCUCGUUACUUAUUUAUGAAAUAAAAUUACCUUAAAACUUUUUACAUAAAUUUAUCUUAAAACUUUUUAUCCUAUUAUAUCUUGCUUUAAUAGUAUUUAAUCUAUAUAUAUAUUCAGUGUUUAUUUGUUUUCAACAAGUCAAAGAAUAAAUUAGAAUAUAUUCUUUAGAAUUAUAUUCCUAUAGAAUCUUCUCUAUUAUAUAUUCCUACAGUUAUUUACUGUAAAGUAAUAUUAUAUAUUAGUAAGAUUGCACACACCGUUUACGAUAUAAGUUGAUUAAUAUGUGUUAUUUCAUAAAUUAAAGUAUAGCAACAUAAUAUGAAAUUUCAUAAUUGAAUUUGAAUGAGAAAUUAAAUAAACAUAUCCAAAUGAUAAUUUUGUGUAUAAUAUUUUUUUCAUGUUCUUCACUAACUUUAAAGUGUAUGGAUAUAUACAGUUACGACAGCUACAACUCCUGCAGCAAUGUCAAUGCUCUCCAAAGAAAAGAAAAAAAUUGACAUGAUGAUAAUCGAUGUCAAUUCAUCAGAUUUACAUUGUUUUGAACUCUUGACACAAGCUGUAACCUUAAAUAUAAUCUCUCUUGGUAAGUAUUUAUAAUUCUAUUUUUCACUUCUUGUUAUAAAUAUUGGGUAAAAUCAGUUGUUUCAAUUAAUACACCACAAAAAUAUAAUUAGCUAUAAAAUUUAUCGUUAAUCUAUUGUCAAGAGACGACAUCUAUCCAUUGGUAAUCUUGUUUUUAGUUAUAGUUAUAUGAUAAAUGAUUGUUUCGUAACAAAGUUGUUGUCGUAACAGAUAAAAUUCAGUAAAUAUAUGUGUGAAAUUAACUAUUCUCAUAAUGUAUGAUAUAUUUUUAUUUUUAUUUUUAACUUCUCAAUAUAAUUAUGUAGUUGUAUGUGAUGAACUCAAUAGACUCUUAGCCAAGAACGCUUUGGAAAAUGGAGCUUAUUUUGCUUGAAAAAGCCAUUCAACAAGGAAAUUGUGAAAUACUUAUGGCAACUUGUAUUGAGAGAAAAAAUACAAAGGGAGAAAUCGAAAAAAGGUUUAGAAGCAAAUGGACGAAAUCAUAUGAAUGCUGAUGAAAUUUAUGAUAGUAAUAUUGUAAGAGAUGAACAAUUUGGAGAGAAGAAUAUGCAUGUUGAUACUGAGGAACAUAACAAUAAUAUCCAUAAGGCUGAAAAUGAUGGCGUAUCAACUGGUAAAUACAAGUUGAAGAGGAAGAGAGGGAGAAAAGGUAUAAAACAGAUUAAUGAAGGAGAAAGUCGUAGCAGUACUGUUAUUAAUAAGACUGGUACACGUAAAUGACUUGUAUCAUGCAUUUUAAACAUACAUAAAUGACAAUGAAUUUGAGAUAAUAAUUAUAUCCAUAGUCCAACUCUCCUUUGAGUUUUUCUUUCUUUCAGAAAUGUCGUGAAAACAAUUGGAGACCUCGAAAAGAGAGAAAGAAUAUUCAUCACGGAUCCUCAAGUGAUUCUCAACAAAGAAGUAGUUGUAACACAUCAUUAGAAAGAAAAAAAAGGAGCUGCAAAAAACUUGGAAAAAUGCCUCAUCUUCAAACAAAUAUACCAAAUCAAAUACAAAGAGUCUCAGAGUUCCCACCAGUUAAUACCAACAACAUUUUUGCUAUUUCAACUCAGCAGCAACUCCAUCACCCACAACUUCAGGCUCAACCUCACUGCCUAAACCCAUCUUUGUCAGCCCAAAAUGAUGUUGGUGGUCAACUACAACAACACAGUCUGUUAUUUGGAAUGCGGGUCCAAUUAUUGGAAGCACUCAAAAUGGUUAUGGCUUGGAUCUCAAUCCUACCCAUGUAACAACAUAUUCAGGUAGCACAAUGAUAACUAAUACAAAUGUUGGAAAUGUGACACUUAAUGGAUUGGGAGCUACAAAUGCUAAUUUUCAGCAAGAUAUUGGUGAACAAAACAUGUUUGAUCCAAGUUCUUGCUCUCGUAAUAUUUGUAUCUUAACUUAUCGAAUGCAUUUAUGUAUCUUCCUGUAUUGCAAAAGCUAUAAUUGGGAAAAUAUUUUCAUCUUUUGAUGAGAAAUUUCUUAACCUUUACUCAUUUCUUCGUUUCCUUAUUAUGUAUUGAAUGUUUAAGAUUGUAGUAUAUUAUUACAUACUUAAAUCUUGUUUAUGAAAUUUUUUAAUGAUUAAUGUUUGGAUUAUAAAUCUCUUGUUUUGCUUAUGUAUUGAAUGAUUUUUAUUUUUAAUGAAGUGAGUCAAAUUGUUUCUUUAAUUAUUCUUGUGUUUUAAUAUUUCUAAAAGGAGCGACUAAUCCUAGGACUUGCUCAGUUACUUUGAUUUGAGCUCGAGAGAGUGAAAAAAGAAUAAGAAGAGAGAUUGGAAAAGAUUAAUUAACAAAAAUUGUGGUACUAAUUUGGGUAUUAAUAAACAAAUCCUUACUUGAUCGCAUAUGUGUUGUUCUGUGUGAAAUUUGCCUCUGACUUAUAGUUGACUAAAUUAUAUUGCAUAUGUUCGUGUACAUUUUCUCACUUGGAAGAGUGGAUUUGGAUGUUAUUAACCAUCACCAUCGUUUAGGUAGAAAAAGAAAAUAACUAAUAGUUUAAUGUUUUAAUACAUAAAUGAUCAACUAAUAUGAGACGGAAAGAGUAGCGUAAAUGUAAGAUUCACUUCUCACCAAGAAUCCUCCUUUCUUAUUAUUUUCCUUUUAGAGGUUAAUAAUUAUUAUGUAUCCCUAGAAUAAUUUAUUGAAAUAGUAGAUUUGAAAGAAAGCAAUUAUUCUCUUCUUCCUAUGCGGGACUUUUAGAACAAAACUAAUUUGACAAAAACCACAAUUUAUUGAUUUUUAGGUGGAAUUAUAUCAAUAAGGAACUAUGCUUAUAAUAUUAAUCUAAGAUCAUUAGGGGUCGUUUGGUAGAGUGUAUGAGGUAAAAUAAUGCAUGCAUUAGGUGUGUGUAUUAGUAAUACCUUGUUUGGUACACUUUUUCAUGUCAUGUAUAACUAAUGCAAGCAUUAGUUAUACACUAUAUUGUGUAUUACUAAUACCAAGAAAUCCUAGAUAUUAGUAAUACAUAGCGUUUUAAUACUUGCAUUAGAUUAUACAAUUACAAAACUACCCUCAAAGCCUUUUAAAAAAACAUCUUCAUUUUCCAUGGUACUGUGUUUAGAAACCUUUCAUCUUCUAUGUGGCUGCUAACACUACAAGAAAAGUGUGAAUUACAUGAGGAUUUUCCUGGGGAUUAGUAUGAAAAUCCGUAGGAAACUUAUUUUUCUGCAAAUUUUCAUACUAAUCCCCAGGGAAAUCCCCAUGUAAUUCACAUUUUUCUUGUAGUGUAAACCUUUAAAAAAAAACAUCUCCGUUAUUUAUAAAUUUGAUUGUUGUAAUACUUUUUUGUAUUUCAAUUGCACUAAAAAAUAGGAUCUGUGGCUGCUAAAGCAUAUGCCCAGACUCCUAAUAUAUAUAAAGUGCAUAUACUGAUUUUAAUAGGGUACCGCUUUGCAGUUAGGAAUUAUCUCAGGUCUAUGCUGCCUGUAUCUCCCUUACAUUCCAUCAGUUUUUAUUUUUUAUUUUUGGACUCGUUUUAUCUCAAAAUAUAUAUAAAGCACUACUAAUGCAUGCAUUACUAACACACCCUAUUUUACAUUAUUCUUAUACACUCUGCCAAACGAUCCCUAUUGUUACUUGAACACAUGGAUUCAUCAUCUGAACAAUUGAAACAAUUAAUACUUGUGUGAACCUCUUGUUAUUUCGAGUGAUGUGUCAGAAUCUUUAGCCAACUAAGACUAGCGUUAAAUUUUUGGCAAGUCUCAAGAAGUGUAAUUAAUACUUAAUAAAAUAAUCUCAUCCUUGAGAUUCAAGAACUUGUUUGGUCUGAAUAGGUUUUAAUCAUUAAGAUCUAGAACAAAGUCUUAAUAUUAGUAAGAGGUAUUUUUGUGUGAAUAGUUUUCUUUGAGGUUCGAGAAAUGGAAUAGAUAUGGACUACAAGUUGAUAUUCGCCAUUAGGAAAUUCACACGAAAAGGAACGAGGAAUUCUCAAUGAAAAAAGCGCUCUCUAAAUCUGUUUAGUAUUUGCCAUGAGGUUCUUACCAUAAUUGAAUUUUCCUUUUAGGAAAAGGUAAACACAGUCUCCAUAUUUGUCUAGUUCUUUUUCUUGUACGAAAAAAAUUAUGACUCUAUAAAUAGAUGUUUAUUCAUUCUAGCUUGGUAGCAUUCAUAAUGUAGUCUUAGGGGGCUUUGAGAGUUUUGUGUAUUGUGUGAAGCUAGGGGAAGAAUGUGUGAGACACAAGUAUUACUUUAACACUUGUGUGAACCUCUUUGUAUUCCGAGUGAAUUGUGUGAGGUCAUUCUUCUCUAGAUUUUGAACUUUCUUUUAUAUAGUGAUUUUUUCAUCUCCUCUUGUGGAUGUAGACCGGUUGACCGAACCACGAUAAAUGUUUGUGUCUUUUUGUAUAUUUCUCGUUUGUCUUAUUACUCAUCGUCUUUCGAGGUUUGCUUUGCUAACUUUUGCAUGACACCUAAUUAUUUCAGUCCCAACAAGUGAUAUCAGAGUCAAGUUCAAUGGUUUAAUGAUCCAAUGGUUGAACCAGGUCAAAAAUAAGUGUUCAUCUUGACGGGUUUAGUUCUACCAUAACAUAUUUGAUAGUAAUGAAGAUUUUUGUUGGAGAAAUAUUUUCAAAGAUGUUUUUUGUGUUGAGAUAUAUAUAUAUAUAUAGAGAGAGAGAGAGAGAGAGAGAGAGAGAGAGAGAGAGAGAGAGGGAGAUAUUUUGCAGAGGAGAUGCAUAGUUAUUGAAGAUUAUGUGAAGAAGGUGGAACAAAUUUAUUUUGUCAGAAAUUUAGGCCAAUGGAGAUAUUUGUUUAGUAUUUGUCAUGAGUUUCUUACCAUAAUUGAGUUUUUUUCUUUUAGAAAAAGGAAAACACAAAGUUUCCAUAUUUGGCUAGUUCUUUUUCUUGUAGGAAAAUGUUUAUGACUCUAAAAUUAUAUGUGUAUUCCUUCUAGCCUAAUAGCAUUCACAAUGUAGUCCUAGGGGGCUUAGAGAGUUUUGUGUAUUGCGUGUAGCUAGGGGAGAAUGUGUGAGACACAAGUGUUACUUUAACACUUCCGUAAACCUCUUUGUUUUUACAUUGAAUUGUGUGGGGUUAUUCCUCUCUAUAUUUUGUACUUUCUUUUAUAUAGUGAAUUGCUCAUAUCCUCUUUUGGAUGUAGGUCGGUUGUUCAAACGACGUUAAAUAUUUGUGUCUUUUGGUAUAUUUUUUGUUUGUUUUAUUACUCACAGUCUUUCAAAGUUUGCUUUGCUAGCUUUUGCAUGAUACCUAAUUAUUUCAGUCCCAACAAAACCAAACGUGAAAGUUGUUUUCCAGCAGGCAACUUUUCUAGUAGCUCUACUCUCGACUUGGAUAAUAUAUCCAAAAAGGUACGCUUUCGGUCAUUCCACAUGCUGCCUAUGUAGAGACAUGUUUAUCUAAAGUGGAUUCUCUUUUUUGCAGUAGGUAUUGAACCUGUUAUGCCCAUUGACUAAGAAGCUAGGGGUGGACACAACAACUACAUGGACCUCUUCCUUUCAUUGGCCAUCACCAUUAGUCGUCUUUGUUAUCACAAUGACCACCACCAUUACCGUCAUCAAAUAUCUCUGUCAUCACAAUUACCAUUCUUAUCAACCACUACUAUAUAUCAAGCAUUUGCUAUAUUUAUGUUUUUUAUCGACAUAAACAAUGGGUUAACAUGAUAUAAUUUAUUAGUAGUUUUAUAUAUUUUUCCCAUAAUAAAGGAAACAAUCACUUAUACAUUCUUUGAGAUCAUUUAGUGUAAAAUCAGGAGUGGAAUCAUAACUAGGGUUAUAGCUUAGGAUCAAUUCACCUUCUUAAUUAAUGGGAUAAUUUACUUAGCUAAAUUUGAGUGAAAAGAAGAAGAAAUUAAUUAAUUUAAUUCGUUUACGUUCCAAUGGGGUGUGCAAUACCCAUAAAUUUGUCAUGUCGUUAUUAGGUGUUCAUGAGAUGCAUAUAUUUCAAGCAAAAGUGUCUAUCUGAUUACUAGACAAGUUUAGCCGUCCAAUUUACAAAUUCUGCCAAAUUUGAGGGACUAUCUAGAUAUUAUUAAGAAAAUCUAUCUUAUUUAAUAUAAUAUUUAAAAUAGAUAACUUUGUAAUUAGUGUUCGCUAGAUCUUCAUAUUUUCUCCAACCAUUAUAAAUUCUCAGUGCUCUCUCUAUAUAAAUUCAUCAGGAUAAAAAUAAACAAGACAAGAUAUCAUACAUAAAAAAUAUCCAAAAGAGUUUUCUUUAAAUAUGUGUAAUCUUUUUUAAAUAGCAUAUCCCUUAAGAAGCUAUGUAGUUUUAUCACAAUGUCCUUCUUUAAUUGUUUUUCUUUAAUUAAUAAAAAGGUGUGUUAUAUAUAUCUUCAAUUGAUGAUAAGCCCACUUAUAUACAAAUAAAGUAAUGCAAGUGAAACUCUGUAAAGAAUCCUAUGAAGGUUCUAGCAGAGAAAUUAUAUUUAAAAAGGAGGGUAAUAGCUAAUGUGAAACAAUUAGGGUUGUAAAAUAAAAAAUAAAUCAAAAUAAUAAUAAUUAGGGUUGCAAAGCAACACCCUCUAUUAUUGAAGUUGAAGUUGUAAUUCGUAGGAUUAUUAUAUAAUUGUAAUAAUGCCUAGCUUUUUGUAACAAGAAGAGAAGUGUAUCAUCAUUUGGAGAGUUGUUAGAACAAUUAUAGUUAACAUUUGAGUUAAAGUACUAAAAUUAAUCUCUUAAAUUAUAAAGGUGUAAUUUGAAAUCAUUCGUUGAAGUUAGUAUAGAUUGAUUGAUAAGGAGUUGUUUAUAGUCUUUUGAGCAAAGAUAUUUUCAUUGUAAGCCCUUUCUUACUUAAUUAGCACUCCUUCGUUACUUUUUACUUAGUAGGACAUACGAAUUGAGGUUAGCUUAUCGCAAUCUAGUAUAUACAUUCAAUUAUUAGAAAAUAAAAUAAUAAUAAUAAAAUUAUUAUUAAAUUUAAGUUUUACUGUCUGGAUUUAUCAUGACACAUAUAAUGUCCACUUGGGCAAAUUUAUUAUUUAAAACACAAUAAUAAUAAUAUAUUCAAUGUAAUUUCAUAAUUGACAUUUGAGAAGAAAAAAUAUAUAUGCUAACCCUUGAUUAAAAAAUUAAAAUUAACCAACCAAAACUAAAAUAAAUAUUUAUAUAAGGUUGUGUAGUGAGAACAAUUAGAUAUACUGGUUUUAAUUCAACUAUGCAUUAAAAAGAACAAUAAGUUGCUGUGGUGUAGUGGUUAUCACGUUAGUCUUACACACUAAAGGUCCCCAGUUCGAUCCUGGGCAGCAACAUAUAUGUAAAAAGUUUUACUUUUUUUUUGAUAUGUCGACGAAAACGUGUUUAUCCUUUUAUUUGUCGGCGGCAUGUCGACGAAAACGUGUUUCUCCUCUUUAUUGUUUUCACCAUGACCUCUUCACUACUAUAUUUACAUUACAUGCUUGUUCUAUCGGAAACAACUCUACCUUCACAAGGUAGGGUAAGACUGCAUAAACGUCACCCUCCCCAUAGUACGUAAAAAGAAUAUGAGACAGCUGCAGGAUCAUGGAAAGAUCAAAUUUUCUCUUUAUUUCAUUAUUGCAAUUACUCCAUGUCAAAAUCCAAAUACAUUCUAUAGGCAUUUCUAUCUGAAGAGUAAUAGCCCUCCACAAGAGUAUCCACUUGGAAACCGAGUUUCUUGUAUAGCUGCAUAGCUGCAGUCCUUGUAGGAUCUACAUGAAGCGAUAUCCGAUGAACGUUUCUUGUUCUGCAUUUCUGCACUGCUGCCUCCAGUAAUUUUUCUCCAUGGCCUUGUCCCCUGUAGUUCUCUUUCACUGAUGUAUUCCACAGGAACGAUGCAUCAGUAAACAAAACGAAAAAUUUUAAAUGACAAAAGAUAAGGAAUAUUGUAAAUGAAUCUCUUAACCCCUCGUUUUUCAACUUGUGUUGAUUCGCUCAGGCCAGAGAACAACAAGAGAGAGACAGGCAUAAACAUCACGAUGAAAAACUCAUAACCACAUAGAGAACGAAAGCAAUUCUUUUGAAAAAUAAACAUCACAUGAAAGAUGGUUCUCUCUUCUAUGUAAUGACGGACAAUGCUUCACUGACUUAUCGGGAAUAUUUACUAAUAAUAUCAAUUCACCUUCUGCCUUUCCCUAUUGCGAUUCAAUAUGAUGACGAUCAGAGAAAGAUAUAACUAAACUCUCCUGCAAAAUUCCUUUAAAACAACUGCUAGCUAUUUCAAGGUUCGUUGUUUCCGCAAUAGUAACAUAUCAGCUUUGCUCGGAGGGGAAAACUACAUAACACCACUCUAAUUUAGAAAUGCUGCACUUUCAUCCAAUCCAGCUACAGAGAAAAACGUUGAAAGAGCAGAAGCAAUUUCUCCUACCUCUCUAUUCAUAGAGAUCAAAACUUGUUCGGCAAAUGCAUUCAUGCAUAUUCUUCUUUAAAAGACAACUUUUUGUAGAUGAACUGCUCCCAAAUAAGUAUUUUUAUCUUUUGAAUGCUCAAGUUAUAGUCACAUUCACACUCUUGACUGCUCUUUUUCCUACGAAAACAUUAUCAAAGAGUCACAUUUGAGUUCCUCACGAUUAUAACCUCGUAUAUUAAAUCAAAUUGGUCCUAGUCACAUUCGGAAAUAGUCUCUCUACUUUCACAACUAGGGAUAAGACCGCGUACAGACUAACCUCUCCAAACCCCACUUGUCUACGCGGUCCUAGUCACACUCACAUUGGGAAAUUGUCUCUCUACUUUCACAGGUAGGGAUAAGACUGCGUACACACUACCCUCUCCAGACCCCACUUGUCUACACAGUCCUAGUCACACUCACAUUGGGAAAUAGUCUCUCUACUUUCACAGGUAGGGAUAAGACUGCGUACACACUACCCUCUCCAGACCUUACUUGUCUACGCAGUCCUAAUCACACUCACAUUGGGAAAUAGUCUCUCUACUUUCACAGGUAGGGAUGGAUAAGACUGCCUACACACUAUCCUCUCUCCAAACCCGACUUAUCUACACAGAGUAUGUUGUUGUUCCAAUAAACAAUAUUAGAUAUCAGCUUAGACUUCAAUCCAAGAAUACAACUACAAUAAUCAGAAUAAAUUCAAGAAUAAGACCAAUUAUUAAAAGGAAAAUCAAAGCAAAACAGAAAAUUAUGAAAAGGGUAUUUUUUGUUCAGACCUGCUAAUUUAGUGAUACAAGCAGAGAGUGAAGAAGGCCAAGAAUACAUAACAUAACCAGCAAUAUCUUCACCUAAUUGAGUGUAGAGUAACCCAGAAUUCUUCUUUUUCAGUUCCUCAUCAAAAGAUCGAGCUAAAGAUUCAUGUUUGGGGAAAAUCUUCUUCUCUAUUCUCACUAUAUCGUCAACUACCUUAACCCAAUUUGCUGAAUUUCUCUGCAAUUCAACUAUCUCUGCCAUUUCUUCGUUUUCAUAUUUCUCUGUUUUUGCUGCUGUAUUUAGGUUAACAAGAAUCUACUGGGGUCAUUAUUGGAAAGAAAAAUAGUUCCUCUGUUAUUUUAAAAGUUUUUACUUUAUUUUUUUUAACUAUAAAGUUCUUAUAUAUUUUUAACGUUUUAAUUAUUAGAAACUAUUAUGUACAUUGUUUUUAUUUUACAUGGUUUAUUAAUAUAUAUAGUAUAAAUUUGCAUUCAUGUAUUAAUUAACUUAUCAAUUAAUCAAUAGUAAAAAUUCUCUCUGAUUUUCUGAUUAUUUAUGGCCAGUUUUUUUUUGUAUGUGUGCGUCUCUAAGCUCGUAAGUGAAAGUAAAUCAAUUUUUUAAUUGUUAAUUUAUGCCCAACUUCUUUAUGUAUGUGUGCGUUUCUAAGCUCGUAAGUGAAAGUAAAUCGAGUCUCACGAUAUCAUCUGUCUUUGUCAUACUCGUCUGGUUGAACAAGGACUAAUACUAGUUGUUGAGCAAAAUUAAUUUAUAAAUACUCUUAACAAGGUGUGAUAUUAUUUGUUUUGGGUAAAGUCUUUGUAAGGCUUCACACUAUUAAGAGAUUCUACACUUUAUAUGUAAUUUUUCAAUCUUUUCAGCUAUCAAUGUGGGAUUUUAUUUACCCAACUAACAAUUUUGUUAUUUGUUCUUACAUUUUGGUGUUAGCUUUGGCCUUUGUGUACUCCAUCAUAGGUUGAGGAAAGGGAUCAUAUAUAAUUGGAAAAAUACAAAUCAGAAUGGUAUUUUUGUUAGUAAUCCAAGGGAUUGGUUUACUUUUGGACAUGUUAUUUUUUUGGUUCUACUUAAGGUUAGUAAGGUCAUUUCAAUAUUAUUUUCUUCCUACUUCAAUCAACAGCAACUUCUAUUUUUCCUUAUAUGACAACGCAAUUCAAUCUAGCUACGUUGUUAUGUUAACCAACCCCAAAAACAGGACACCAUAUCUAGAUUGAUAAGCUUAAGUAAGUUUCGAUAUGACUCAUUUAUACUUCAAUUAAUCUAAAGUAAAACUUAUCCAUAUGUAUGAUCCAGCCAAAUUAUUUUAUCAAUAUAAUCGAAAUAUUAAAAACAUAUUUAGUAAUUAUGGAUAUCAUAGGUAUAGAUAUGUAUAUAUAUUAUACUAAAAUAUACAAAACCUAUACAAUUAUGACUAUUUGUAAAUUAGAUUAAUCAAAGACAUUGAACUGUAAUUAUUCCAAUCUAUACUUUAAACCCUUUUCACUUCAAAGCACUAUCCCAAUUCUAAACAGUUUGAGACAUGGUAAAAAAAAAUAAUUGAUUUUUUUUUUUUUAAGAUGGGGUGUAGUUAGGUGGAAUUUUCUUGGUUUUGUUCAAAUAAGUCUGCCUUUUGAAGCAUAGGCAUACUUGUUUCAUCUUUAUAUAUAUAUAUAUAAUAAUGAUGUUCUGGAUAACUUUUACACCUUAACUUGAUUAAUUAUGUGAGAUAUCUGUCAUUUUUCAUAGCAAUAUUAUAUUUAACUAUAUUCGCCCAAACUAAAACAGGUAGAAAUAACAUUUGAAUCUGUCAAACUGCAAUAAUGAAUUAUAUAUGGUGGAAGAUUCUUUGGGGCCCAACUGGCCCCACAGCUAAUAUUUUAACGGACGUCCAUGAAAAGUUUUAACAAAAUCACGUCGAAAUUCUAGAUCACCAAAAAUUCAUGGACUAUAUAGCACACGAUAAUCAGCAAAAUGGGGGGGGGGGUUACUUGCUCAAGGGCUCGUCUGACCUUGAAAAUGGGCUGGUUUGCCCGUGGGGACCAAUUGGCUCUAUAACUAAGGUCUUAACGGACGUCCAUGAAAAGUUAUUGCAAAAAAUCACGUUGGAGUUCCAUAUCACCAAAAAUCCAUGGACUAUAGCACAUGAAAAUUGGCAAAAUAAAGGGUUUACCUACUCUGGGCUCGUUUGACCUUGAAAAUGGGUUGGUUUGCCCGUGGGAACCAGCCGGCUCCAUAGCUAAGGUUUUAACGGAAAACCAUGAAAUUUUUUGGCAAAAGUCACGUCGGAAUUGCGGAUCACCAAAAAUCCAUGGACUAUAGUACACGAAAAUCGGCAAAAUGGGGGGGUUUACCUACUCUGGGGAUUGUUUGACCUUGAAAAUUUCCCGAUUUGCCCGUGUGGACCAACUGGCACCACAGCUAAGGUUUUAAUGGACGACCAUGAAAUUUUUUGGCAAAAGUCACGUCGGAAUUGCGGAUCACCAAAAGUUCAUGGACUAUAGUACACGAAAAUUGACAAAAUAGGGGGUUUACCUACUCUGGGGAUCGUUUGACCUUGAAAAUUGUCCGGUUUGCCCGUGUGGACCAACUGGCUCUAUAGCUAAGGUCUUAACGGACGUAUACAGAAAAUUUUGGCAAAAAUCACGUCAAAAUUUCGGAUCACCAAAAAUGCAUGGUCUAUAACACACGAAAAUCGGUAAAAUGAGGGUUUACCUGCUCUGGGGAUCAUUUGACCUUGAAAAUGGGUCGGUUUACUCGUGGGGACCAACUGGCUCUAUGCUAAGGUCUUAACGGACGUCUAUGAAAUUUUUUAGCAAAAAUCACGUCGAAAUUUCGGAUCACCAAAAUCCUAUGGACUAUAGCACACAAAAAUCGGCAAAAUAGGGGGUUUACCUGCUCUAGGCUCGUUUGACCUUGAAAAUGGGCCGAUUUUCCCGUGGGGACCAACUGGCUCCAUAGCUAAGGACUUCACGGACGUCCUUGACAAAUUUUGGCAAAAAUCACGUCGGAAUUCCGUAUCACCAAAAAUUUACGGACCAUAGCACACGAAAAUAGGCAAAAUGGGGGGUUUACCUGCUCUGGGCUCAUUUGACCUUGAAAAUGGGCCGGUUUGCUCGUGGGGACCAACUGGCUGCAUAGCUAAGGUCUUAACGGAUGUCCAUGAAAAUUUUUGGUAAAAAUCACGUAGGAAUUCCGGAUCACAAAAAAUCCAUGGAUUAUAGCACAUGAAAAUCGGCAAAAUGGGGGGUUUUACCUGCUCUGGGGUUCAUUUAACCUUGAAAAUGGGCCAAUUUUCCCGUGGGGACCAACUGGCUCUAUAGGUAAGGCUUAAUGGACGUCCAUGAAUUUUUUUUGUAAAAAUCAUGUCAAAAUUCUGUAUCUCCAAAAAUCCAUGGACUAUAGCACACAAAAAUCAGCAAAAUGGGCGGUUUACCUGCUCUGGGAAUCGUUUGAACUUGAAAAUGGGCCGGUUUACCCAUGGGGAUCAACUGUCUUCAUAGCUAAGGUCUUAACGGACGUCUUUAAAAAUUUUGGCAAAAUUACGUCGAAAUUCCAGAUCAUCAAAAAUCCAUGGAUUAUAGCACAAGAAAAUGGGUAAAAUGGGUUGGUUUGCCCGUGGGGACCAACUGGCUCCAUAGCUAAGGUCUUAACGGACGUCCAUGAAAUUUUUUAGAAAAAAUCAUGUCGAAAUUCUGGAUCACCAAAAAUUGAUGGACUAGCACACAAAAAUUGGCAAAAUGGGGGGUUUACCUACUCUGGGGAUCGUUUGACCUUGUAACUGGGCCAAUUUUCCUGUGGGACCAACUGGCUCCAUAACUAAGGUCUUAACGGACGUCCAUGGAAAUUUUUGGAAAAAAUCACAUCAGAAUUCCGGAUCACCAAAAAUUCAUGGAUUAUAGCUCACGAAAAUUGGCAAAAUGGGGGGUUUACCUGCUCUUGGGCUCAUUUGACGUUGAAAAUGAGCCGGUUUGCUCGUGGGGACCAACUGGCUCCAUAGCUAAGGUCUUAACGGACGUCCAUAAAUUUUUUUGGCAAAAAUCACGUCGGAAUUCCGGAUCACAUUCAUGACUAUUUGUAAAUUAGAUUGAUCAAAGACAUUGAACUGUAAUUAUUCCAAUCUAUUCUUUAAACCUUUUUCACUUCAAAGUACUAUCCCAAUUCUAAACAGGUUGAGACCUAGUAAAAAAAAUGAUUUUUUUUAAAGAUGGGGUGUAGUUAGGUGGAAUUUUCUUGGUUUUGUUCAAAUAAGUCUGCCUUUUGAAGCAUCGGCUAUUCUUGUUUCAUCUUUAUUUUAUUUUUCAUAAUAAUGGUGUUCUGGAUAACUUUCACACCUUGACUUGAUUAAUUAUGUGAGAUAUUUAUCUGAUCAUUUUUCAUCAGCAAUAUUUAACUAUAUUCGCCUAAACUAAAACAGGUAGAAAUAACAUUUGAAUCUGUCAAACUUCAAUAAUGAAUUAUAUAUGGUAGAAGAUUCUUUGGGGCCAUUAUGCAAUGAUAGUGGAACAUGAGAAUAUUUUUAUGAUUGGUAAAAAUAUCAUGGGAAUGGCGAAAAACUAGCUUUGAUAAGAAGAAUAUGAUGCUUUAUAACAUUAUCAAGGGAACAAAAGUCAUUUUUAUAUAUUUGAAGAAAAGAAAGUUUUCACAUUACAAUAAUUGGGAUGCCUAUAAAUGUGUGGUUCAAAAUGAUAGUGACAAGCCACAUAUUAUAUUGAAGCAUUAAUUAAUCAUAGUAAAGAAAGUUCAAUGUUAUUAUUAGGGGCAAUUUGUGCAAAGUAGAUAUGACCUAAGUUGCUUGAACGCAAAGGUAAUGUUAUAAUGUUUGUGAAAAAUUGAUAGAUCAUUAAAUCAUUAAACCUAUUACCUAUAUAAGAUUUAGUGCUAAUUACAAUCAUUUCUAUGUAGUGUAAGUGAUGUUGGAUUAGGUGGAUAUCAACUUAUCAAAGUGGACACCAAAUUUUUUAAAUUGCUUUCUCUAGUGUUACACUAACUUUAAUAAGUGGAAAUCCUUAGACAAUUGUUGAAGAUAUCUAUCAUAUUUGAUCAAAUAAAACAUAAGUUAUCAAUCAUAGAAUCAGAUAUAUACCUUUAAAUUCACGGGAGCGUUUGACUAUGUUUCAUUGUGAAAUUUGAUUUUUCUUUUCAAGUAAAAAAAGAUAAAUUGAAAUUAGAUAUUGUUAUCAACUUGUAUACCACUAGUUCGAAAGGCAUAAUUUCUUAAACUGACAUUCAAACUUAGCCUCCACUUACAAGUAAUUACUUCAACUUUUUCAUUAUGUAUGCAUAUUUAGACACCUUAUAAACUCGACUCAUUUCCACUAUACCAGCUAAACUCUCCAACAUAUGUACAAAAUAAUCAUCUAGUCACCUUCAAAAUUUAUUCAUUACAUCAGCAUCGAAUGUAAUGAGAUACAGAGACGAGUUGAGUAUUUAGUAGACCGUUGAAACCAAGUUGAGGUGUCCAUACCUAUACAACAAUUAUCACAGGUGACAUGCUUUCAAAUAAUUUUGAAGUAUUAAAAAUAGAUGAUUUAUUAAAAUAAGAUAUUUCUCACCAUAAGCAAUUUUCAAUUCUUUCGCAUCAAACGCACCCAUAUUUAGAAUGUUCUAUACUAUCACUCUCCAUAGACGGCAGCCAUCAUGUCAAUCACCACCCACCAGCACUUGCUGUUGUUAACCUUGCCAAAUAGAUAAUGACAAGUUGGCAUAUGAGAUAGGUGGUCUACGCCUAUCAACAUGAGUUGUGGUGCAAUGGUGGAAUUGCUCAAUCCUUAAUUAGAAAUUUCAGGUUUGAGUCUUGGGUAUGAAGAAAAUUCUAUUGGAAGCGUCACUCUCAAAUGAGUCCUGUGCUGUACAAUUCAGAUUUAAUUAAGGCUUUAAUGCAGACUCCGAACAGUGAGCGUGAGAAAAAAAGAGAGGUGGCCUAUGCCUAUUUCUCUUUGAGAUGUUGAUGCCUUGAUUUUGAAUGUCUUGUUUUUCAAUCCUCGUGCUUAUAUCUUUGAAUAUUCAUUACUUUCUCUAGAUGUGAAAACUACUCUUUCCGUUUCAAUUUGAAUAUUCAGAUUAUAAAGAAUAUUUUUUUUAUAUUUUACGUAACUUUAAUCGAAUACCAUAUAAUUUAAAAGUUCGUUUUACUUUUUUAAAUCAAAAUCAAAUAAAUAAAUUAAAACGAAAGGAGUGAUGGCUGAGAUGUCCUGUAAAAUGGUAUUGGUCUCUUUAGUGGGAUUUUGUUAUUUUGAUUUUAAAUUGACACAAGAAGCUAAACAAGCUUUGUCUUCUUAAUGAUUGGAUUUGAUUCAUCUUUUCAAUUUCAAUUGAGUCUGUCUCAAAAUUCAUAAUGUUAACUAUAUAAAUCCAGGUGAUCAUAUAUUACAUUGAUCUAAGAUGUAUAUUCAUAUCAUAUAUCGCGUUACUAAAUAUAAUUACAUUGUAUGAACACGCGAAGAAGAUGAUCAGAACAAGAGAAGACAUGUUACUAAACAACAACAUAAGAAAAAACAAAUUCUGUUAAGUGAUUGAUCCGCGUGUGAUAGUUGUCUUCUUAACCUUGGACUAUUGCUUCCUGCUAGAUUAUAUGAACUUGAAUAUGUAUACAAAUUAGUAUUCAAUGAGUUCCCAAACAUUCGCGCAUAAAAAAUUUCCCCUGUUGUCGUUCCACCAGGACUUAGCAUAUGUUCUGUAUUUGUAUAAUUUCGAUGAUGAUCAUGAGAUUGUUGGUAUAAUGGAGGCAUAUUAUUAUUGGGUAUUACUCCGUGACUCCUACAUCUCGGAGUAGGAGGUCUUUGUGGUAUGACUAUACCAAGAUUCAGGGCCUUGCCUGCUGUUUUUGUAGCUUGACCGCGACCAUAGAGUGGAAUCAAUGUUUUUUGUGAGACUUCAGCUUUGCAAACAGGGCAUUUUGGCUGUUGAUUAUCGAUGUUCUCUGAUGAAAUGGUCUUAAUAUGUAUCCAUUUGUAGAUGCAAGGCCAACAAUAGAGGUGACCACAUAAUGUAACAACAGGAUCAUGUACAACAUCCAGGCAAAUGUUGCACUCGAAACCUCCAGGUGAAUUUUCUUCAAGUUUAUCAAGAUCAAUUGUCUUACAUUUUUCAAAGGAAAUAUCGCGUUGAUCAAAAAUAGUUUCUGGUAUUUGGUCUUGAAAAAUUUGUUCUAAGGCCAUAUUUGCUUCUUGGUAUUGAUUUAUUUUGGUAAUGGCAAGAUGAAUGGUUAGAAUUCAGGUUUUUAAUACAAUUAGAAGUGAGUAUUUAUAAGGACAAGAAUAGUAGUUUGCAAACAAUGAUUCUUAAGGUUGUCACUUGUCAACAUCACAUCAUGUUAAAGGGGCAUGGCCAAAAAGAAAAGGCCCUACACAUUAUUAAACAACACUAUAUCAUAUUACUCAACUCAGUUUUGAUUUAUGGGUACUGUUUGAUUUGAUAUAACAUUUAAUAAGAAAAUGAAAACUUUUAAAAUAUGUACUGUAUUAAAGAUAAAAAAUAAAUUUUAAAUUUUUAGAUCCUAGAAAUGAUAUUCUUUUUAUAUUAAGACUACAACAAAUGUCUUACAUAAAUUAAGACAGGUGAACUAUCAAACACAUCAUAAUUAAGUGAUUUAAUGAAGUCAAAAAUAAAUAUUAAUGGAUCAUGGUUAAGUGAGAGGAGUUUUGUGCAAACACGUCUUUUAUCUAUCUAUUUGAUUUAAACAAGCAUAAGUUUUAUCAUAUUAGAAAUAUGAUUAGGACCUUAUAUUAGGCCCCAUGAUAAGAAUCUUAAUCUAGAAAAUAACUUUUAGUCAAUAAAAAGUAGCACUAGUUGCGUACAAGGAGCUACCACUUGAUGACCUUCCACACAGCCACAUCCCAUAAGUUCAAUAGUUUUCACACUAUAAGAACUAGAUGUUUUUUUCCGAGUGAAUCAAUAAAAAUUUUAUGUUAUAAAACAUGAUUUUUUUCAUUUUGAUUUUAUUAAACUAAUUCACUAAGAAAACCCAUAACGAAACAUAAGUUCUCAUUGAAAUACUGGAAAUAGUCACUUGGAAAUUUAUGAGUUUUAGGAAAUUAUGCAUCAAAACUUAGAAAGACGCGGCUCAUAUAGAAAUUUGUUGUUAAAUCAUAAUAUAUACUUUUACAUCUGAAUAUCUUUAUUGAUUUGGUUAAAAUUAUAAUUAAAAAAAUUACAAUACAAUAUAUAUAGAUUCACAUAAAUUUAAUACUGUAAGUUCAAUUAUUAUUAUGAUAUAUUAAUCUAAAAUUAUUAUAGAAGCUUCUAAACUCUAAAUUCAGAUCCAACUAAGGAGUGAAUAUACAUAGUGGGGGUCUGGGGGAUGGGAGAAAACAUAUGGACGGUGUGACAAAUAAAUAAAAGAAAUACUCCGUCCAUUCCAUUUGACUUAGUAUUGUUUGACUUAAUACGAUGUAUAAGAGAAAAAAAAGAUUUUAGAAAAUUAUAGGCUAAAACAAUUUUUAUAUAUUUAUAUAAUUGUAAAUCAUUUCAUUAAUUAAGGGUAGAUGGAGAAUUUUAAGUUUAAUUAUUUUCAAUUACAAUAAAAUGACAUUUUUAAAGACGGAUUAUGAGAAUAGAGUGCCACGUAAUAUAAAACGAGAAAAUACUACUCCCUCCUUCCCAUUUUAUAUGUUACCUUUUUACUUUACAUUUACAUUAAGAAAUAAUGUAACUUUACCCUUCUACCCUUAUUUAAUGUUUUCUUAAGUUAACUUUAUAACUCCCUCCGUCCCAUUUUAUAUGUCAUCUCUUUCUAUAAAUAGUUGGACCACAAUACUUGUCAUUUUAUAAAAUUUAUGUAUAAAUUACCAUAUUUUACCUAUUAUAUCCUUGAUAGAGUAGUUAAUUAAUCUUGAAAAUAUAUUCAUCAUUUAUUAUAAAUUGACUUAAGAAAAUAUUAAAUAAGAAUAGAAAGAUAAAAUUACAUCAUUCUUCAACAAGUGGUAUCAGAGCCAGGUUAAUAAGAGCGAGGUAGUAACUCAAAAGAGAUCCUACAAGCUACCGUCGGAGGCUACAAAUCGCGAGGCACUAAUUAAUGAUGGAUUUUGCAAGCACUCUCAAUAGCGUUGAGANNNNNNNNNNNNNNNNNNNNNNNNNNNNNNNNNNNNNNNNNNNNNNNNNNNNNNNNNNNNNNNNNNNNNNNNNNNNNNNNNNNNNNNNNNNNNNNNNNNNNNNNNNNNNNNNNNNNNNNNNNNNNNNNNNNNNNNNNNNNNNNNNNNNNNNNNNNNNNNNNNNNNNNNNNNNNNNNNNNNNNNNNNNNNNNNNNNNNNNNNNNNNNNNNNNNNNNNNNNNNNNNNNNNNNNNNNNNNNNNNNNNNNNNNNNNNNNNNNNNNNNNNNNNNNNNNNNNNNNNNNNNNNNNNNNNNNNNNNNNNNNNNNNNNNNNNNNNNNNNNNNNNNNNNNNNNNNNNNNNNNNNNNNNNNNNNNNNNNNNNNNNNNNNNNNNNNNNNNNNNNNNNNNNNNNNNNNNNNNNNNNNNNNNNNNNNNNNNNNNNNNNNNNNNNNNNNNNNNNNNNNNNNNNNNNNNNNNNNNNNNNNNNNNNNNNNNNNNNNNNNNNNNNNNNNNNNNNNNNNNNNNNNNNNNNNNNNNNNNNNNNNNNNNNNNNNNNNNNNNNNNNNNNNNNNNNNNNNNNNNNNNNNNNNNNNNNNNNNNNNNNNNNNNNNNNNNNNNNNNNNNNNNNNNNNNNNNNNNNNNNNNNNNNNNNNNNNNNNNNNNNNNNNNNNNNNNNNNNNNNNNNNNNNNNNNNNNNNNNNNNNNNNNNNNNNNNNNNNNNNNNNNNNNNNNNNNNNNNNNNNNNNNNNNNNNNNNNNNNNNNNNNNNNNNNNNNNNNNNNNNNNNNNNNNNNNNNNNNNNNNNNNNNNNNNNNNNNNNNNNNNNNNNNNNNNNNNNNNNNNNNNNNNNNNNNNNNNNNNNNNNNNNNNNNNNNNNNNNNNNNNNNNNNNNNNNNNNNNNNNNNNNNNNNNNNNNNNNNNNNNNNNNNNNNNNNNNNNNNNNNNNNNNNNNNNNNNNNNNNNNNNNNNNNNNNNNNNNNNNNNNNNNNNNNNNNNNNNNNNNNNNNNNNNNNNNNNNNNNNNNNNNNNNNNNNNNNNNNNNNNNNNNNNNNNNNNNNNNNNNNNNNNNNNNNNNNNNNNNNNNNNNNNNNNNNNNNNNNNNNNNNNNNNNNNNNNNNNNNNNNNNNNNNNNNNNNNNNNNNNNNNNNNNNNNNNNNNNNNNNNNNNNNNNNNNNNNNNNNNNNNNNNNNNNNNNNNNNNNNNNNNNNNNNNNNNNNNNNNNNNNNNNNNNNNNNNNNNNNNNNNNNNNNNNNNNNNNNNNNNNNNNNNNNNNNNNNNNNNNNNNNNNNNNNNNNNNNNNNNNNNNNNNNNNNNNNNNNNNNNNNNNNNNNNNNNNNNNNNNNNNNNNNNNNNNNNNNNNNNNNNNNNNNNNNNNNNNNNNNNNNNNNNNNNNNNNNNNNNNNNNNNNNNNNNNNNNNNNNNNNNNNNNNNNNNNNNNNNNNNNNNNNNNNNNNNNNNNNNNNNNNNNNNNNNNNNNNNNNNNNNNNNNNNNNNNNNNNNNNNNNNNNNNNNNNNAAGCUUGAGAUAAGAGGAGACGUUAUAUGUGCUGGAUGUCAAUAUGGGAAAGCACAUCAACUUCCCUAUGGAGAAUCAAAGUAUCAAGCGNNNNNNNNNNNNNNNNNNNNNNNNNNNNNNNNNNNNNNNNNNNNNNNNNNNNNNNNNNNNNNNNNNNNNNNNGACCAGUGAAGCAGUCCUCCAUCAGCGGUUACCGUUACAUGGUAACAUUCAGUGAUGACUUCUCAAGGUACGUAUGGAUUUACUUCAUAAAAGAGAAAUUUGAAGUAUUUGAGAAGUUUAAAGAGUUUCAAUAUACUGUGGAGAAUGAUAUUGGAAGAAAAAUCAAAUGUCUCCGUACGGACAAUGGGGGAGAAUACACGUCACGAGAGUUCAAUGAAUAUCUUAAAGAGAAGUUGAUAAGACGACAACUAACUUGUCCAAAUACACCACAACAAAAUGGAGUGGCUGAAAGAAAAAAUAGACAUCUGGCGGAGAUAUGCAGAAGUAUGUUGCAUAGUAUGAAUGUACCAGCAAGGUUUUGGGCAGAAUGCAUGAAGACUGUUGUCCACAUCAUCAACAGGCUGCCGCAGGCAAGAUUGAGAUUUAUCUCACCAUUUGAGAAACUUAAAAAAAUAGAUUCCUACUGUAAGCCACUUUCGAGUUUUUGGUUGUGUGUGCUAUGUGUUCGUGCCAGAUCAUCUCCGCAACAAGUUUGAUAAGAAAGCUGUUCGUUGCAUCUUUGUUGGAUACGAUGAACAAAGAAAAGGAUGGAAGUGUUGUGACCCUACCACAAAUCGGACAUAUGUGUCAAGAAAUGUGGUAUUUGAUGAAGCAUCAUCUUGGUGGUCCAAAGAAGUCUCCCUGCCAGACUCAAUAGCUCUUGAGCAAAAGCUGCAAGAUAAGCUCAAUGAAGUAGAACAAGGGAACAAGAUAGACUCUAACCAGGAGGUAUCUCCACAAAAGGAAAAGAAAAGCUUACCACAAACUGGAGCUUGUGAAACACCAGAUGAGUUGCAAGAAGAAGUCCAAGAAGAGUCACAAUCGCAACUGAGGAGGUCUACACGACUGAAGCGUCCAAACAUCAAGUACAUAGAUGCAGCAUUAACCGAGGUGGUUAACAUCAAAGAGGCUGCUACCUUUGAAGAAGCUUCAAAGAGUAGGGAUCGGAAUAAUCCGACGAAGGUGGAGAUCCCCAAAGGGUAUGGACGUUAUGAUGCUUGCAAAGUUUCAGGAAUCGCUCACAAAAGACGCAAAGAAAAAAUUAAGUUGGUGUUGAGGGGGAGUGUUAAGAAUUCAUCACCAACUUAAUUCUUUACUUAAGAUAAAUCAAGAAAAAUCUAGAAUAUUCCGGAGGUGUAGAGAAUUGAAGGAAGAUCUCUAGAAUGAGUAUUCUAGAAAGAAUAGUCUAGAAAUGUUCUAGAAAGAAUAGUUCUAGAAAAAGAUAGUUAGGAAUAUUCUAGAAUAGAGUAGUAUGUAUCUCUCUAGAUUCUUCCAUCACCACCUAUAAAUAGAGGUGGUCCAUUUGAGUUGUAAGCAACCAAGCAAGAAACCAAGCAAGAAAUAAGAGAGCAAACAAGAGUGAGUGCUUAAGUCAAAUAGUGUUGCUGAAGCAAGCAACAAGUGUGAUCAAGAUUGUAAGACCGAAGCGGGUCCUUACUUUGAUAUAAUAAAAUUCAAGUUGUGAGAAAUCGAUUGUGCCCGUCGUCUCCAAAACAAUAAUAUUCAACACUCAUCCCCAAUUCUAGAGACUAAGUUUCUCAUCUUCAUUCUUAUCUCUAUCCUUACUUGUUAUUUCAAUAUUUCCAUUGUAAUUAGAUAGUUUGAUUAUUCCAAUUAGAAUAUUAAAGUUGUAAUAGUGUUCCAGUGCUCUUAUUAAUAGUGUGAGAAUUUUGGUUUGUUACAUCAGACGUUCUCUUUUCGAAUAAUUGAACGUCUCAUAUUAUUUGCUAAUGAAAAAUAUCAUGAGUAGGACCCAAAAAGAUAGUAGUACCAGAUAACAAACAAAAAAAUACUGUACAGUCUAAAAAUAAGUAUAGAAUAGCUUGAACUUUUGGGCCGUUGUAUAAAACACCCAGAAAGGGAGACAGGGGAGUCACUGGUCCACUUAAUUAUUACAUGUAGUAAAAUUAUUAGUUAUGUACUAGCAAUACUGGAAGUAUUAUUUCAUGGCAUAUAUUGGUGACUAAGAUAAGUGAUAAGCAUAAUAAAUAAUUUAGAAGUAGGUGGAUUCGAGUCAUCAACGAGCUCCCGGGGAGGAAUGAAAAAACUCUUAAUAAUAACUACAACAUGGAGUGGCCACUGCUAGCAUAGGUGAUAUCCUACGAAUAAUGAUGCCACUGCCUUCCGUCAUAUCCAAAUCCUCCGGUUUUAACACUUCUGGUAAUGCUAAAUUGAACUUGUGCACAAUCCUUGCUAAUGCUAGCUCAAUUACCACAAUAGCAAAACCAGUUCCUGGGCAGCCCCUUCUCCUAAAAUUGUCAACUUUUUAUAUUUUGGCUUACUUGGAAGCAAGUCUAUCCUCUCCUAUCCAAUCAAUUAGGGUGGCCAUUAAUCAGAUAUUAUUAGGCUAAAGAUAACAUAUUGCUCCCUCCGUUUUUAAUUAUUUAUCCAUUUUUUUAGUUAUUCCUAAUUACUUGUCUAUUUUGACAAAUCAAGAAAGAAUAAUUUUUUUUACCUAUUAUACCGUCAAUUUAUUACUUUGAAAAAAGUAGAACUUUUUGAAAAUCUUGAGUUUUUAAUUCAUCCACUUCAUAAUUAAUAUGGGUAAAAUGGUAAACUCACUAUUUCAAUAAUUGUUUUCUUAAUAAGUGUGCCAAUUUAAAAAUGGAUAAGUAAUUAGGGAUAGAGAAAGUAUAUCGAAAUAAUAUAAUCAGAUAUUAUGCUAAAGAUGAUUAACAAAACUUUGAACAAUUAUAAAUAAGAUAGCAAAAAAAUCGAUUAGAUAAUACUUAGCAAAUUAACACGGUUCAACGAUUAGUGAUGGAAUCUGAAUAUGAUUCGGGAUUUUCACUAUUAAUGAAAUUCAAAAGGCAUAAUACAUAAAUGUGCCCUUUAACUUGACUUCAUUUUAUGUUUAUGUCGUUCAAUUUUGGGUAUGCACAUAAACUUGUAUAAAGUUGAACAACUAGCCACAUGAGUUCUACACGACACAAUACAUUUAAGACACCACGUAGGAUAAAAAAUGACAUGUAGGAUACCAUAUAGGACAUGUGUGUCUGUUUCUUCAACUUUAUACAAAUUUAAAUGUCUACUUGUGCACACCCGAAGUUGAAGGGCAUAAAUGUGAUUUGAAGCCAAGUUAAAUGGUAUAUUUAUGUAUUAUGCCUAUUCAAAAUAUGAAUAAGUAAACAUACAAAUUAGCUGACUACAAUAAUACAAAGAUAAAAAAACAAUUUUAAUUAUAUGUAUAAAUAGUAUAAUUUUCCAUCAAAGGUGGUUCAUUUGAUUCCUCACUUCUUUCCCUCAUUUAAAACUAUGCAAUAUGAGACUUUCAUGUCACAUGGAAUCCUUCUCUUUUUUUUUUUUGGAAAUCUUAAUAGCUCAGUUAACUAACUGACUAUUUGAAUUCUCGAUUCCCCAUACUGUAAUCCUCUACCCCAAUUUUUUUCAUUACCUUCCUCACAUAUGUAUAAGACCGAAUCCAAAGAACUAAGAUGAGAGAAUUUUGGGAGAGCCGCCACUCCAACUACUGCCAUGUAUUAUCCAUACUAGAUCUGACCAUCUGUCCAUCCUACCCUCCUCUACGUUCUUGACAACCCAUUUUUGUCUUAGUCAAGUCUUUUAGUGGCACAUUUUGACCUUCUUUUCCAUUACUUAGAAAAAGUGAGCUAUUAUUCAGAUACAAAAUACUAUCAUUAUCGCCUAGAAAAUUAGACAUUCAACCCGUAAUCACAAUGAUCCAAUUACAAAAGCUCUGAACCCCCUAGGUCUAGACUGGCUCUGGCCCCUGGUUUUAUCACUUGACCUUCACAUGAGUAAACUCGUUGAUAUAGAGGAUUACAGUAUCGAUUUCUUUAAAAGAAAAAAACCUUAAUUUAUAAAAGUUCAAAAGAUUUUAAUUCAAUGUUUGUAAGUAAAAAAACAUAUUUCAUAAAACGGUUGCAAAUCACAUCGAAUAAGUUCCAUUGAUUGGUGUAUGGUUCUCAUAAGGGAAGUAACAGCAGCAUAAGCCAUAUAUCCAAAAAAUAGGACUAUCUCUCACUCUCAGUAUGAAAAUGGACAAAUUAAUUGCCACAAGUUAUGAAAAUGGCUAGUCCUCAGAACACCUUAACUACUUGCUGCAGAAUAAAAAAAAGACGCAAAAAAUGGAAAAUAAUAUGUUAGAUGUCCCAUAAUUAAGGAACAAGAGAACAUUAUAGUAAGAAUGAGCAUGCAGGUAUAAGAACUUACUCAUUAUUGCGGCAAGAAGCAACUUCUUUCUCAAAGUCAUCAUCAUCAUCAUCUUCAUCUGUUGUUACAGUAUCAAAUACCAAUUUCUCGAGCUGAUAUAAGUAGCGAAAAUCAUACAGGUCCUUGUGAUUGCGAAAGUCCUCUGGGACGCCAAAUACUUUCAACUUCUUUAAAUUGGGAAAUAGUCUAAAAAAAGACCCUGUACAAUACCAAGGAUUCAAUUGAUUGAGGCAUUGCAAACUUUUCAAAACCAAUCUGUUCUCUGUAGGCUCAUGACUCUGCAAGUAAUUCCAGCCCAUACACAGCUUCCUCAAUUGUGGCAUUGUCAAAAUUUCCGAUGGUAAUAUGAAAGGAUAAGCACAAUCACGAAACGGAAAGUUAAACUUAAAAGUUUGUAGAUAGCAUAGGCUUGAUAUCGAUAGAGGAAUGUCUAUUAUUGAUGAGGGAACAGCUUUUAACGAUCCUCGAUACUGCUUUAAGCAAGGAUAAAAACACAAAGAUAGGUAUCUCAAAUGAAUUAGAGAAAGUACUCCACUGGGAAAAAUUGGGUAUAUAUUCAAACCAAGAUCUAGUACUCUUACUAGCUUGAAAGACAAUUCCAGUGUGAAGCAUUUCAAUCCACCCAACAUGAUAAUAGAAUGAGCCUCACUGUUACGACACCAAGCCAAUUCUUCCUUCUUAUAGAUACUGAUCCGACUUCGACUCUUAAAGGAACACUGCAUGGAUUGUGCACAUGAAUUUUGAUCACUCUUUCCUCUGAUAACAUUCACAAAAUUCAUGUUUCGAGCUUCCCUCAAACAGAGUUCACGGAUCACAUCAUGCAUUCCACAUCUCUCUAUUUCCCCAUCAAAACUCAAAUUGUGGAUAGAAAUUAGACUUCUAUCUACAAGUUCGUUUAUACAUGUUUCUGCCACCUCUUCUAUGCUUUUUCCUUCUUCUUCAUUCAAAAACCCCUCUACGGCCCAUAACUCAACAAGUGCAUUUACAUAAAUCCGUUCAUCCUCUGCGAAAAUUGCAAAAUACAGAAAACACGGUUUUAGGUGAGAAGGCAAGUGAUGGUAACUCAAAGCCAACACUCUCAUGCAUUUUGCUUCAAGAUCUCUGCUUACCACCGAACUUACAUUCUCCGCAACAUUUUGCCACUCAUCCAAUGUUUUACUGAUUUUGGAGAGAAGUCCAGCAAUCAAAGUAAUUUCUAGAGGUAACCCUCCACAUUUUAAUGCAAUUUGUUUCCCAAUAUUUUCAAAUUCAGGAGAAUAAGAACCUUCUUUUUCAAAGAUCUUUUUGUGUAGUAAAUUCCAACUUUCGUCAAAAUUCAUGAGGCGCAUNNNNNNNNNNNNNNNNNNNNNNNNNNNNNNNNNNNNNNNNNNNNNNNNNNNNNNNNNNNNNNNNNNNNNNNNNNNNNNNNNNNNNNNNNNNNNNNNNNNNNNNNNNNNNNNNNNNNNNNNNNNNNNNNNNNNNNNNNNNNNNNNNNNNNNNNNNNNNNNNNNNNNNNNNNNNNNNNNNNNNNNNNNNNNNNNNNNNNNNNNNNNNNNNNNNNNNNNNNNNNNNNNNNNNNNNNNNNNNNNNNNNNNNNNNNNNNNNNNNNNNNNNNNNNNNNNNNNNNNNNNNNNNNNNNNNNNNNNNNNNNNNNNNNNNNNNNNNNNNNNNNNNNCAUGUUCAGGUAAACUGACAAGUGAGCUAGUUUGUGGUUUUAGAUCUUUCAUGCUGUCCGAUGCUGCCAUCCACUGUUUCACGGUGGAAUCAAUGUAUUCUAGUGCUUGUUCCAAGACGAAAAAAAUCUCCCACAUAGCCCUGCUUCUUUCCUCCAAAUUCUGUGCUAAAAAAACAUUUCUUGAUUCCGAGUCAACCAUAUCUUCUGUUGUGUAUGCUACCUCUGCGAUUUCAACUUCCAAGAUUGUUAACCCCUCAUGAUCGCCCAUUAUAUUGCAGGAUUUCUCCAGAAUAGCUCUCAAAGAUUUGAGCUUUUCAUAAAACGGUUGCAAAUCACAUCCAGUAAGUUCCAUUGAUUGAUGUAUGGUUCUCAUAAGGGAAGUAACAGCAGCAUAAGCCAUAUAUCCAAAAAAUAGAAAUAUCUCUCAGUAUGAAAAUGGACAAAUUGCCACAAGUUAUGUAAUUUUUCAGUUUUUAAGAAAACAGAAAAUGCAAAGUUCUUUCUUUUACUAGCUAUUUCCAUCACAUUUCCAGCUAGGUCCACCAACCUUAUCAUCAUGUAGACAAAAGCAGAGACCAAAGUUAAAAAAAAGUAGAAAAAUUUGUGAUCAUUCAUUAUUAGACCGUACACAUAUCUAUUCAUGAAUAUAAGUAUGCUUCUUACAUACAAGAGAUUGAUGAUUUUAAUUACAUUGAAAGCAACUUAGUAGAAUUUUCCAAAUCAAAGAGAGAAAUAUUAAGAUCCAAGUAGGAAUUUCUCUAUUCCUAGUUCGAUUCAAUUAACCAAGCAUAAAUAUCUCUUAAUAUACAUGAGAAGUUUAGACUCUAAAAGUCAAAUCAACAAAAUAUUUAUGGGCUAACACAUGAAAAACUAUUGAGAAAAUCGCCUAAUUUCUGUAAAUUGGCCCUUAAAUCUCCAAAAUGAACUCUAAAAAUUGUCAGACUGUACGUAUUGCUCCCCAACUCCCUACUGAGGGUUCUGUAAAGAUUUCGAUUAGAAUUCGUCCGUAAGUCAUAUCACCAAUAUAUUAAUGACUAACACACACGAAAAACUGAGAAAAUUGUCUAAUUUCUUGAAAUUGGCCCCUAAAUGCCUAAAAUGGACUCUAAAAGUUGUGAGACUGUACGUACUGCUCCCCCGACUCCCUACAGAGGGUUUCGUAAAUGUGUAGCAAAGAAAUCGUCUGGAAGUCAUAUCACUAUAAUAUUAAUGGGCUAACACACACAAACCACUGAGAAAGUCGCGUAUUCCUGUAAAUUGGCCCCUAAAUGCCCAAAAUGAACUCUAAAAUUGUGAGACUAUGUACUGCUCCACUAACUCCCUAUGGAGGGUUCCGUAAAGAUUUCACAAAGAAAUUAUUCGGAAGACAUAUCACCAAAAUAUUUAUGGGCUAAUACAUUUUUAUUUGUCCAUUUGAUUUGACAUAUCUUUCAAGUACUUUGAUCUGGUUAUACUUUUUUUUUAUUGCUAAAAAUAAAUAUCCACUUUUACUUGUUCAUUCUACAAAACAAAGACAAUAUUUUAUUGCUUGAUUCAGAUAUAAAAUUUGAGUAGGCUAAUUUACAAACCAUCUGUAGUCAUCCUGCCCCUAUGCUAUAACAUUUGAAAGAAAGAGGUCAUCAUCAUCAUAUUCAUCAUCGUUGUCAUCUUCAUCAUCAUCUUCAUCAUCGUUGUCAUCUUCAUCAUCAUCUUCAUCUUCUUCAUCAUUAUCAUCAUCAUCAUCAUGAUCGUCAUCGUCACUUGUUUCCUCACUGUUGAAAAAGCCAGCAACAAAAGAUGAAAAAUGAAAUGUUAUGCAAGUAUAACAAGUUACACAAUUACUAUAUUGGAAGGAUUUAAAUCAUAUACAAUGACAACGUAUGAACUUUUACACUAUAGGUGCCAUUUAACUGCUUAUUAAAGCAAUUUAUAAUUAUUUUAUUACUAGUUCUGGACACGUGCUUUGCAUGUGUAUAUUACACGUUUAGUCACGAUUGUAAGAGGGUGUACACCAGGAUCAUUCGAAGAGCAAAGUCGUGUGAGCCUUACAGAUAUUCUUGACGUACUCCUAUUAAAAUCUGUAUCAUAUUCGUAACUUUUUGAAUGAGGUUCACCUUUUUCCUCAUUGUACUUUGUACAUGGAUGUUGUCCAUCACAAUAUCCCCUUUUUCAAAUUUCAUAGCUGAACUACUAGGUGUACGAGUUCCUACCAGAACUACUACCAACUAUUUAUCAAAACACACAUCAACUAUAUAUGAGUUGUUCCCUUUUACUAGUGGUGACAAAUAGGUGGAUUUGGACGGGACUGAAAAUGGAUUGAGCAACAUGGUCGUAACUCACUUAAUCUCUUAAAGCCAGAAAACUUUAAAGAGUUAAUUGAAAUAAACUUAAUGACUAUCCUACUUGAAGUAUCACCGUCGUUCAGGUAAGAAAAAGGAAGUAUAUCAAGGAAGAAGAUGUCUUACAAAGCCUGAUGGAUAUGGACCUCGAUAGAACCUCCAUAGUUGUCUUGAAUGUCCUGUUGAAUCUGCUUUGCGGAAUUCCCAACAGAUUCUGGGCAGUUUCUUAUAUAGAUUAGAGCAAGUGUGGUUAUAUCUGCAAAAUCUUGAGGGAUUGAGUCCAAAAACCUGCAACUAUCAAGAAAUAGUCGUUCAAGGCACGGAAAGUGAUCACAACUAGCUCUCCAGUACUGAAUAUGUGAUCUUUUAAGUAACAAGAACUUCAAAAAAGGAAACCCUUCCUCAGCUACUUCCCACUCCCUGCCUCUGCAUACACCCUGUGUUAGUUCAAGAAGUUCAAGUUUGGGCAAUUUUCCGACAACAAUGCUUAAAUCCUUCCAUGACAAGAAGAAAUUUCCUGUAAAAGUUAAAUUCUUAAGGUUUCGUGGAAAAGCAUCUGGAGGAGGUAAGAUCAAAGAUGGAACAACUUCUACAACAAGUGGAUUCCUUGUCUGAAAACACAUUCUCCUCUCCAAAAAGUAAGCAUUAUUUUGAGGAGGAAGACAAAAUGCUAGUUCCUCGAGAUGAUCUAAGUAGCGAAAAUCAUAGAGGUCUUUGUGACUAUGGAAGUCUUGUGGGAUGCCACGUACUUGCAACUCCUUUAAAUUGGGAAAUAGUCUAAAGAAAGAUGCAGUACAAUAGCUAGGAUUCCAUCCAAACAGAGAAUGUAAAUUUUUCAUAACCAAACUUUUCUCUGUAAGCUCAUGAUAUCGCAAGUAAUUCCGAUCCAAAUGAAGGUGCCUCAACUGUGGCAUUGUCAAAAUAUCUGAUGGUAAUAUCAAAGCAUGUUUACGAAGAUUAAUGACGAGUGGAAGGUAAAGUACCAAACUUUGCAGAUAGCAUAGGUUUGAUAUGGAUGUAGGAAUGUCUACUCUUGAUGAGAGAACAUCUUCUUCGGAUCCUAGAUAUUGCUCAACGUUAGGAUAAAUACGCAAAGCUAGGUGUCUUAAGUGAAUCAAAUAAAGUAUUUCACGGGGAAAAGUUAGACAGAUAUUAUCAGCAAGAUCUAGAACUCUUACUAGCUUGAACGGCAAGUACUCCCUCAUGCAACAUCGGAAUCUACCAAAUAAGAUAACAGAAUGAGCUUCACUGUUAAGGCACCUAACAUACUCUUUCUUAUUAUGGAUGCUGAUUCGACUUCGACUCUUAGACAAACACUGCAUGGAUUUCACAUAUGAAUUUUGAUCAUUCUUUCUUCUGAGAACAUUCACAAAAUUCAUGUUACGAGCUUCCAUCAAACAGAGUUCACGAGUCAUAUCAUGAAUUCCACAACACUUAAUUUUUCCAUCAAAAGUAGUACUUUUAAUGGAAAUUAAACUUCUAUCAAUAAGAUCUUGUAGGUACUUUUCUGCCACUUCUUCUAUGCUUUUCAUCUCUUCUACCUUCAAAAAUCCCUCUGUUUCCCACAAUAUCAUAAGUUUAUUGACAAAAAUCAGUUUAUCCUCUGGGAAGAUUGCGAAAUAUAAAAAGCAUGGUUUUAGGUGGUGAGGCAAGUAAUGGUAACUCAUUGCCAACACCCUCAUGCAUUGGACACCAACAUCUGUGCUUACUGCUGAACUUACAUUUUCAGCAACACUUUGCCACUCACUCAAUGCUUUGUCAAUUUUAGUGAGAAGUCCCGCGAUCACAACAAUUGCUAGAGGCAAUCCUCCGCAUUUCAAUGCAAUUUGCUUUCCAAGUUGUUCAUAUUCAGGGGAGAAAGAGUCUUUCGUAAAGACUUUUUCAUAUAAUAAAUUCCAACUUUCGUCAAAAUUCAUGAGGCGCAUGUGAUGAGGAAGCUUACCUGAGCUAGCAUAUUCAGCCACUUCCACAUUCCGAGUAGUCAAGAGUAUUCGGCUUCCAUUAUGAAAGUCUGGGAAACAUAUUUGUAUAUCAUCCCAAGCUUUUGUAGUCCAUAUGUCAUCAAUGACUACCAAAUAUCUCUUGCCUUUUAGAAGCUUUUGCAGUCGAUCUGCUAGUUGCCCGUCAUGUAGCUGAUCAUAAGGUUUAUCACUUAUACAAGAAAGAAGGUCUAGGAAAACAUUUCUCACACAAUACUCUUGUGAAACAGUAGCUUUUGCACGUAUGUCAAAGCGAUACAUCAUGCAUGGAUCGUUGUAGAGUUUUGUUGCCAAAGUUGUCUUGCCAAUGCCUCCCAUACCUACAAUUGAUACAACUUCUAGUUCUCUUUCUCCUCUAGCAAGUUGAUCCAGCAUCAUCUUGAAUUCAUUUUCAUAGCCAACCAUUAUAACCUCGGACCGCUCAACAGCAAGUUCAGGUAUCUUGGAUAGACAGAAAUUUUGUGCUUUGAAAUCUUUAAUGUUGUUGUACCAGUCCCAUAUUGCCAACCACUGCAUCAUGAAGGAAUCAAUACAUUCUACCUCUUGUUCCAAGGAACAACAGAGUUCCCAGAAAGCUUUGCUUCGUGUAAUUACAGUUUCUGCAGAAGAAACUUUUCUUGAUUUCGAAUCAACCAUGUCUUCUGCUUUGAAUGCUACCUCCGUGAUUUCAACUUCCAAGGUUGUUAACCCCUCAUGAUCGCCCGUUAUAUUGCAGGAUUUCUCUAGAAUAGCUCUCAAAGAUUCGAGCUUUUCAUAAAACGGUUGCAAAUCACAUCCAUUAAGUUCCAUUGAUUGGUGUAUGGUUCUCAUAAGGGAAGUAACAGCAGCAUAAGCCAUAUAUCCAAAAAAUAGGAAUCUCUCACUCUCAGUAUGAAAAUGGACAAAUUAAUUGCCACAAGUUAUGUAAUCUUUCUUUUACUAACUAUUUCCAUCACAUUUCUAGCUAGGUCCACUAACAGGAUAAAGUAGAAAGAUGUGAGGUCACUAACCUUAUCAUCAUGAAGACAAAAGAAGAGACCAAAGUUAAAAAAAAAAAAAGACGAAAAAGUAGAAAAAAUUGUGAUCAUUCAUUAUUAGACCCUACACUAAUCUCUUCAGAAAAAUAAAAUAAAAUUUUAGUUUAAAUAAAGGAAUUCAAGCUGUAUAUUGAUAACGUCCAAUUCAAAUUCAAGUGUAGUACGGUCUAGCAAUAAUAAACUCAACAAAAGUUGGAGUCGAGGAGUACGCUUGUGUCAAGGUGACAGAGAGUGUGCGAAUUUGCUAACAAACAAAAGGUCUUUCUUUUAGCUAGGUCCAUAAUCCAUGUAGUGCUCUAUACUCUCUAGUCUCUAUCAACCAGCUCAAGUUUAAGGGUGUGUUUGGUAUGGAGGAAACAUUUUCUCUAGAAUAGGGAGAGAUUUGUGCAUAAACAAGGAAGAAUCUCUCAGUAUAACAGUGAAUGGGUAUUUUUUUAAGAUUUGCUUCUUUUGUGUAUGACUUUUGUAAGAAACAUUCUGGUAAAAGUUAAAAAAAAUGAUCUUGUGGAAUAGCCACAGUGAAUUCCUUAAUAUUCGAGUAGAAAAAGCCAGAGAGGAUAACAUUGCUAUUUGUACACUUAUCGUGACACGAGUAGUCUCUUAAAUAUUACACCUUUCUACUGAUGUUGCUGAUGCCACUGGAUUUAGCCUUCCGUCUUCCUUUGCAAGGUAGAUCGAGGACUCCCAAGAAAGGAAACACAAGUUACUGGAGUCUGUUCUGGCCUAUACAGUAUGUAUGUACAUAAAAUUUGGAGUAUCUAAAAACCACUGACAAAUGGCUAUACGAAAGAUCAUAUACAAUUAAAUUACAAGCCAUUUGCAAUCAUCCUGCCCCUUUAUGCAGAAUCUUUUCAAAGAAAAUGAAAACGAACAAAACAAACACUCACACAUUUGGCUUCUGAUUUGACAUUUAUUUCAGAGAACUGGCUAGUCGCUGCAGGAAAAAAAAAGACGCAAAAAAUGGAAAAUAAUAUGUUAGAUGUCCCAUAAUUAAGGAACAAGAGAACAUUAUAGCAAGAAUGAGCAUGCAGGUAUAAGAACUUACACAUUAUUGCGGCAAGAAGCAACUUCUUUCUCAAAGUCAUCAUCAUCAUCUUCAUCUGUUGUUACACUAUCGAAAAUGCUAGCUACAAAAGAUGAAAAAUGAAAUGUUACACUUCCCAAAAUCAAGAAUGAGCAUGCAAGUAUAACAAGUUACACAAUAUUGGAAGGAUUCGAAUCAAUCACAAUGACAGCAUCAAGAACUUUUGUUGAAUUGGUGUAAUUUGACUUACUAAAGCUAUUAUCCAGAUUAUUAUCGAGUUUACUAUAAUGAUGAGUUAAAUAUUGUUGUAAAUCAAGGAAGAAGAUGUCUUACUAAAGAUUACGAGUAUGGACCUCGAUAGAGCUUCCAUAGUUGUCUUGAAUGUCCUGUUGAAUUUGCUUGGCGGAAUUCCCAACAGAUUGUUGACAGUAAUGUAUAUCAAUAAGAGCUAGUGUGGUUAUAUCUGCAAAAUCUCGAGGGAUUGAAUCCAAAUACUCGCAAUUUCUAAGAAAAAGUCGUUCAAGGUACGGAAAGUGAUCACUACUAGCUCUCCAGUACCGAAUGUAUAUUUGAUCCAGAAACAAGAACUUCAAGUGAGGAAACCCUUCCUCAACUACUUCCCACUCCUCGCCUAUGACGGCAUUGUGUGAUAGUUUAAGGACCUCGAGUUUGGGUAAUUUACCAACAAUGCUCAAAUCCUUCCAUGCCAAAAGGAAAUCUCCUCUAAAAGUUAAACUCUGGAAAAGAUUAAUUAACAAAAAUUUAUGGUACUAAUUGGGGUAUUAAUUAACAUAUCCUUACUUGAUCACAUAUGUAUUGUUCUGUGUGAAAUUUUCCUCUGACUGAUAGUUGACUAAAUUAUAUUGCAUACGUUCGUGUACAUUUUCUCACUUGGAAGAGUGGAUUUGGACGUAAUUAACUAUCACCAUCGUUUAGGUAGAAAAAAGAAAAUAACUAAUAGUUGAAUGUUUUAAUACAUAGAUGAUCAACUAAUAUGAGAAGAAAAGAGUAGCGUAAAUGUGAGAUUCACUUCUCACCAAGAAUCCUCCUUUCUUAUUAUUUUCCUUUUAGAGGUUAAUAAUUAUUAAGUAUCCCUAGAAUAAUUUAUUGAAAAAGUAGAUUUGAAAGAAAGCAAUUACUCUCUUCUUCCUAUGCGGGACUUCUUGAACAUAACUAAUUUGACAAAAACCACAAUUUUAUUUAUUUUUAGGUGGAAUUAUAUCAAUAAGGAACUAUAUAUGCUUAUGAUAUUAAUCUAAGACCAUUAUUUGUUACUUGAACACAUGGAUUCAUCAUCUGAACAAUUGAAACAAUUAAUACUUGUGUGAACCUUUUUUUAUUUCGAGUGAUGUGUCAUAAUCAUUAGCCAACUAAGACUAGCGUUAAAUUUUUGGUAAGUCUCAAGAAGUGUAAUUAAUACUUAAUAAAAUAAUCUCAUCCUUGAGAUUCAAGAACUUGUUUGGAUUGAAUAGGUUUUUAUCAUCAAGAUCUAGAACAAAGUCUUAAUAUUAGUAAGAGGUAUUUUUGUGUGAAAAGUUUUCUUUGAGGUUCGAGAAAUGGAAUAGAUAUGGACUACAAGUUGAUAUUUCCCAUUGGAAAAUUCACACAAAAAGGAACAAGGAAUUCUCAAUGAAAAAAGCGCUCUCCAAAUCUGUUUAGUAUUUGUCAUGAGGUUCUUAUCAUAAUUGGAUUUUCCUUUUAGGAAAAGGUAAACACAGUCUCCAUAUUUGUCUAGUUCUUUUUCUUGUAGGAAAAAAAUUAUGACUCUAUAAAUAGAUGUUUUGUAACAUCCGACAAUUUGAAAUAGCUAAGAAGAGGCUUGAAAUUUGGAAAUUUUCAAUUUUUGGAAAGGAUUUGAAAAUCUGGAAAAUUUGGCUAAGUAUGGGAAAGGUGAGUUUUUUUGGGCCCAAACUUUGAACAACCAUAAAUUCUAGCUCAGGAUGAGUUAGGUGGAGUUCCGGUUAUGUUUGCAUAGCCCUCGGAACGACCUUUCCAACGCCACUGAGUUUGCUCAAUUCUGAGUUCGUAUGAGCGAGUUAUGGCCAUUGAAAGUUGGGCAGUUGGCAGGGAAUCCGUCCGGAAAAUUAAGGGCAUUUUAGUCUUUUCCCUAGCCAAUUCUUUUGGGAUUAUAUUGUUGUAUAGGGCUGAUCUUUAGAUCAUUUUGUCCCAUUUUAAGAAAUUAAAAUCUAGGGCUUGAGAGUGAAGAAGAGAAGAAGGAGAAGAAGAAGAGAAAAAUCGAGGAGAUCAACAAGUUUCCGACAAGAUCAUCGUGAAUGUUCGUCGGGGGUGAUCCCUAUCAAGGUAUGUGAGCUUUUAGUGUUGGGUGAUACUUUCCCCCACACACCUAGCCCCUUUUAUUUAUUAAGGAAGGAUUGGUUAUGUUGUUAAAGUUGUUAGUUGUUGUGGUUGAAGUUGUUGGAGUUGUUAAAGUUGUUAGUUGUUGUUGUUGGAAUUAUUGUUGGUGGUGGGACAUAAUUGAGUUGUGUUUUUAUGUUGAAAUCUAUUGAAUGUUGAGGGAUUUUAUGUUUCUAAGUGAUUGGGGGCUGGAAUCUUUGAGGUUAGAGGGUUUAGAGUUGGUAACGUGAAGGAGAAAGUCGGGUAGCUUGCGAGGAGCAUGUCUGCGUCGCGGACUUGUUCCUCUGUGAACAAAAAAUCUUCUCCGCGUCGCGGACAGGACGCAGACUCCACUGUUUUCAGAAUUUAUGUUCGAAGAUUUUCUUAGGUUUGGCUGUCCCAAAUCAUUCGCAAAUCAUUCCUAAACAUCAUGAGACCCUUCCAAACACCAAUCAAGUCCUUGAAUCCAUAAUCCAAUUCAAGGUGAGUUAUGAUCAAGUCAAGUGAAGUUAGUUUUCAAGUCAAGUGAAGUUAGAAGUCAAGUGAAGUUAGAGCCAAGCUUAGAAGUUAAGCAAGUCAAAGCAAGUCUUUAAAGCUUUUCAAGAGUCUUCAUUGAACGUUUUGACUUCAUUCUAAGGCUCAAGUUCCAAGUUAAGUAUAGAGUUUCAAGUCAAGCAAAGAGUCUCAAGUUUCAAGUUAAGUAAAGAGUAUCGAGUUUCAAUUUAAGUCAUAAUUUUUCAGUCAAGAGUCAAGAGUUGAGUUCAAUUCUCAAAAGUAAUUAGGGAACUAAGUAUUUCCCAAAGAAGUUUUAUAAGUGUUUUCACAUUUAAGUUGAGAGGAAACGGAGAUUUCCAAAAGAGUUUUGAGAAGUUUGAGCACUAUCUCUUUUAAAAGAAAAGAUGAGUUUUUGAAAAAGAGUUUCUAAAUUAUGAUUAGUAUGACAAAUGGAGUAUGUCAUCAAUGUUUAAACAGUAUGGUCUCUAGAUAUACCAUCAAUGUUUAAGCAGUAUGAAUAUCCCGAGUCAUCAAUGAUCAUAAAAAAAAAAAAUGUGGUUUUGACUUGUUCUAUUUAGAAAGAGUUUUCAAGUGCCUUCGGGCUAAGUUUUGAGUAAUUAUCUCAACUAAAGAAAGAUGUGCUUAAAACACUUAUGAGCUAAAGUAUUUUGGGAGUAGUAUCGAGCACCGAAUUGGGGAAACGAGUUCAUAUUAAACUCAACUCUCCAUAAGAACCAUGUAGCCAAACAUGGGAUUUCUCGGAUCAUACUUUUUAGAUGAUCACGAAAGUUAAGCUAGUGGAUCCAUUAAGCAAAAGUUAAAGUAAGGUCCUAUAUCGAUGGCAAGGUAUAGGAUGGUCCUUGGGCAACGUGAGGUAAAACGUUGUAUCACCACUCAGAUUCAUAGUGGUGGUUUGUCGGUUAGAGAAGCUCCCACAGUAGAAAGAGCAUGGUUCCUCGAGGGUUCUGCUUAGUAUGGAUGGGGGUAUGGGACUUCAUUCAUGCAUUGCACAAGUAGACUUUGAGAGGAAGCAUGGUAUUUUUAUGAUAUUAUAAAUAUGAUUUUUACGUCAUGUUUUAAUAGUUUCAAAAGCUUUAUAUAUAUUGCAUGUGUCUCAUUGCUUUAUAUUAAGUUCAGUUAUUCUUGAGUUGUACAGAGCCAAGGUAAGUUCUCUUUUGUAUCCCUUUUCAAGCUUAAGUUGUUGUUUAGCGGUCCAGCUCGCAUACUCGUACAUUCCAUGUACUGAUGCCAGUUGGCCUGCAUCUUAUGACGAUGCAGACACNNNNNNNNNNNNNNNNNNNNNNNNNNNNNNNNNNNNNNNNNNNNNNNNNNNNNNNNNNNNNNNNNNNNNNNNNNNNNNNNNNNNNNNNNNNNNNNNNNNNNNNNNNCAGUCAGUUAGUUUUGAGUCUCUCAUCUAUGUAUAUAUGUAAAUAUUCUAUUUUGAGACUCGAGUGGCCUUUUUGGCCAGAUGUGUAUCAUUUAAGUUGUUUAUGUCUUUGCAUGGCAUUGAGUUAUUCUGUUGAGUAGGUUUCCGCUGAGUUAAGAAAGCCAGGCCAAGGGUUCGCUUGGGGCCAGCAAUGGUCUCUGAGUGCCGGUCCCGCCCAGGGUGUAGGCUCGGGGCGUGACAUGUUUAUUCAUUCUAGCUUGGUAGCAUUCAUAAUGCAAUCCUAGGGGGCUUUGAGAGUUUUGUGUAUUGUGUGAAGCUAGAGGAAGAAUGUAUGAGACACAAGUAUUACUUUAACACUUGUGUGAACCUCUUUGUAUUCAGAGUGAAUUGUGUGAGGUUAUUCUUCUCUAGAUUUUAUAGUGAUUUUUUCAUCUCCUCUUGUGGAUGUAGAUCGGUUGACCGAACCACGAUAAAUGUUUGUGUCUUUUGAUAUAUUUCUUGUUUGUCUUAUUACUCAUCGUCUUUCAAGGUUUGCUUUGCUAGCUUUUGCAUGACACCUAAUUAUUUCAGUCCCAACAAGUGACAUCAGAGUCAGGUUCAAUGGUUUAAUGAUUCAAUGGUCGAACCAUGUUAAAAAUAAGUGUUCAUCUUGACGGGUUUAGUUCUAGCCGUAACAUAUUUGACAGUAAUGAAGAUUUUUGUUGGAGAAAUAUUUUCAAAGAUGUUUUCUGUGUUGAUAUAUAUAUAUAUAUAUAUAUAUAUAGAUUUUGCAGAGGAGAUGCAAGGUAUUGAAGAUUAUGUGAAGAAGGUGGAUCAAAUUUAUUUUGUCAGAAAUUUAGGCCAAUGGAGAUAUUUGUUUAGUAUUUGUCAUGAAUUUCUUAUCAUAAUUGGGUUUUUUCUUUUAGAAAAAGGAAACCACAAAGUUUCCAUAUUUGGCUAGUUCUUUUUCUUGUAGGAAAAUGUUUGACUCUAAAAUUAUAUGUGUAUUCCUUCUAGCCUAAUAGCAUUUACAAUGUAGUCCUAAGGGGCAUAGAGAGUUUUGUGUAUUGCGUGUAGCUAGGGGGAGAAUGUGUGAGACACAAGUGUUACUUUAACACUUGUGUAAACCUCUUUGUUUUUCCAUUGAAUUGUGUAAGGUUAUUCCUCUCAAUAUUUUGUACUUUCUUUUAUAUAGUGAAUUGCUCAUAUCCUCUUUUGGAUGUAGGUCGGUUGUCCGAACUACGUUGAAUAUUUAUGUCUUUUGGUAUAUUUUUCGUUUGUAUUAUUACUCAUGGUCUUUCAAAAUUUGCUUUGCUAGCUUUUGCCUGAUACCUAAUAAUUUCAGUCCCAACAAAACCAAACGUGAAAGUUGUUUUCCAGCAGACAACUUUUCUAGUAGCUCUACUCUCGACUUGGAUAAUUUAACCAAAAAGGUACGCUUUCGGCCAUUCUACAUGCUGCCUAUGUAGAGACAUGUUUAUCUAAAGUGGAUUCUCUUUUUUGUAGUAGGUAUCAAACCUGUUAUGCCCAUUGACUAAGAAGCUAGGGGUGGACACAACAACUACAUGGACCUCUUUCUUACAUCGGCCAUCACUAUUAAUCGUCUUUGUUAUCACAAUGACCACCACUAUUACCGUCAUCAAACAUCUCUGUCCUCACAAUUACCAUUAUUAUCAACCACUACUAUAUAUCAAACAUUUGCUAUAUUUAUGUUUUUUAUUGACAUAAACAAUGGGUUAACAUGAUAUAAUUUAUUAGUAGUUUUAUAUAUUUUUCUUAUAAUAAAGGAAACAAUCACUUAUACAUUCUUUGAGAUCAUUUAGUUUAAAAUCAGGAGUGGAAUCAUAACUAGGGUUAUAGCUUAGCAUCAAUUCACCUUCUUAAUUAAUGGGAUAAUUUAAUUAGCUAAAUUUGAAUGAAAAGAAGAAGAAAUUGAUUAAUUUAAUUCGUUUACGUUCCAAUGGGGUGUGCAAUAUCCAUAAAUUUGUCAUGUCGUUAUUAGGUGUUCAUGAGAUGCACAUAUUCCAAGCAAAAGUACCUAUUUGAUCACUAGAUGAGUUUAAGUAUUCAAUUUACAAAUUCUGCCAAAUUUGAGGGACUAUCUAGGUAUUAUUUAGAUAAAAUUAUUUGUAUAGUCCACUCUAAACAUACUUAUAAUUAAGCAAGUAACAUAUACUAUAUAAAGAAGCUUCUAGAGAUAAUUAAAGUUAACUCUAUAUAAUUAGAGUUGCAAUAACAAAUACGUCAAAACAUUAAAGUGUUUCACCAAUAAAGUCAUUUUUUUAAUGUCCAAAACUAAUCCAAUGGAAGCUCUAUUAUGUGGAACACCAGAAGAAGUUUCAGUAUUGUUGGUACAUCAUGAAGUAGAAUUUCUUACUAAUCAGACUGUUAAAUUGUUAGAGGCUUAUAAAUACAAAGGUGACAUUCUAGAAUUUUUUUAACUUUUUUGUUUCUUUGAUAUAAUAACUAAAUGCCGUGUGACAUUUUUUUUUAUAUAUAGAGAGAGAUUGAAAUGAUAUGCUUUUUGUUAUCUCAUUUAUGAUUUUAGCAUCGUCCAUUUUUAAAUUUCAUUUAUCUUGUAAAUCUUGAACUUUUCUUUUUCCUUGUUAUCAUAGCACUUUUUAAUUUUUACAAAUUUAUCUAUCCUCGAAGAAAAAUAAUUCUACAUUAGUGAUGGAUGCACAAGAAAUUAGGAUGACGGGAGGGAAGAGAAAGAGCACGAAAAAGACAUGAUAAGAGAUGAUCUGUCUAUCAUUAUUACUUGAGAUAAUAUUUUUUUGUCUUUUAUUGGAUGUAUAAAAAAAAAUGAGGAGAUCUAAUUUUCAUUAAAAAAACAUUUCCCUUUCUAUUUUUUGUUUUUGUUUUUCGUUGGACGUAGACAAAAAAUUGGCAACUCCUUUCUUAUACUUUGUUAGAUCAUCUAAUUACAUAUCUAUGAAAUAAAAUUACCUCAAAACAUUUUAUCCUAUUAUCUUUUGCUUUAAUAUUUAUUUGUUUUUGACAAGCCAUAAAUAAAUUGGAAUAGUUUUUAGAAAUAUAUUCUUUAGGAUCUUCUCUAGUUUUUAGUAAUCCAAUUAACGAAAAAAAAAAACUAAUAUAUACUUUUUAUGUAACCAAUCUAGUUAAGAUUGCACUCAUCAUUUAUAAUAUAAGUUGAUUAAUAUGUGUUAUUUUAAAAAUUAAAGUGCAGAAAUAUAACAUGAAAAUUCACAGUUGAAUUUGAAUAACAAACAAACAUAUCCAAAUGAUACCUUUGUGUACAAUAUUUUUUUUUUCAUAAUUUUCACUGAUUUCAAAUUGCACGGGUAUAUGUAGUUACGGAAGUUAUGGCUCCUGCGGCAAUGUCAAUGCUUUUCAAAGAAAAGAAAAAAAUUGAUGCAAUGAUAAUCAAGGUCAUUUCACCGGAUUCACAUUGCUUUGAGCUCCUGGCACAAGCUGUAACCUUGAACAUCAUCGUAGUAAGUAAGUAUUUAUAAUUCUAUCUUCCACUUAUUAUUAUAGACGGUAAAGUAAGUUUUUUUAAUUAACUAUUGCAUAAUGUAUAUAAUAUUAUUCAAUUUUAAUUGCUAUCUUCUUGAUAUAAUUAUGCAGUUGUCUAUGAUGAACUCAAUGAAUUCUUAGUGAAGAAAGCUUUGGACAAUGGAGCUUACAUUUGCUCGAAGAAGCCUCUUGUCGAGCAAACUAUGACAUUCUUGUGGCAAUUUGUAUGGAGGGAGAAAACACAAAGAGGGAAAUCAAUAAAAAGAGUAGAAACAAAGGGAGAUCAUAUUUUUGUUUGAAGUUAUUGGAGUUCUGAGAAAACAAUAGGUCGUGGUUUUUUCCUCCCUUGAGCAAAGAGGUUUCCACGUUAACAUAUGUGUUCUUACUUUAAGCAUUUAGAUUACUUCUUGUUAUCAGUAUAGUCAAGUGGUCAGAACACGAGAAGACAUGUCACUAAACAACAACAUAUAUAGGAAAAAACAAACUCUGCUAAGUGAUCGAUCCGUGUGUGAUAGUUGCCUUCUUAACCUUGAACUAUUGCUUCCUGCUAGAUUAUAUGAACUUAGAUAUGUAUACAAAUUAGUAUUCAAUGAGUUCCCAAACAUUCGUGCAUAAACAAUUUCCCCUGUUGUCGUGCCACCAGGACUUAGCAUAUGUUCUGUAUUUGUAUAAUUUCGAUGAUGAUCAUGAGAUUGCUGGGAUAAUGGAGGCAUAUUAUUAUUGUGUAUUAGACCGUGACUCCUACAUCUCGAACUAGGAGGUCUUUGUGGUAUGACUAUACCAAAAUUCUAUACCAAAAUUCGGGGCCUUAAUUUCAGAUGUUUUUGUAGCUUGACAGCGACCAUAGAGUGGAAUCAAUGUUUUUUGUGAGACUUCAGCUUUGCAAACAGGGCAAUUUGGUUGUUGGUUAUCGAUGUUCUCUGAUGAAAUGGUCUUAAAAUGUAUCCAUUUGUAGAUGCAAGGCCAACAAUAGGAGGUGACCACAUAAUGUAACAACAGGAUCAUGUACAACAUCUAGGCAAAUGUUGCACUCGAAACCUCCAGGUGAAUUUUCUUCAAGUUUAUCAAGAUCAAUUGUCUCCAUUUUUCAAAGGAAAUAUCGCGUUGAUCAAAGGUAGUUUCUGCUAUUUGGUCUUGAAAAAUUUGUUCUAAGGCCAUAUUUGCCUCUUGGUAUUGAAUUAUUUUGGUAAUGGCAAGAUGAAGAAUGGUUAGAAUUCAGGUUUUUAAUACAAUUAGAAGUGAGUAUUUAUAAGGACAAAGAAUAGUAGUUUGCAAACAAUGAUUCUUAAGGUUGUCACUUGUCAACAUCACAUUAUGUUAAAGGGGCAUGGCCAAAAAGAAAAGGCCCUACACAUUAUUAAACAAC